rnacentral:lncRNA from 1 species
GCCACUUAAACAGUGCUUCUCAUACUGUGCGGUCUUUUCCAAAGAUCACUCAAUUGAAAGAGAUGACUUGAUUAAGUUAUGGAUGGCACAAAGCUACCUCAACUCUAAGGCAGGCAGAGAGAUGGAGACAGUUGGGAGAGAGUACUUUGAAAACUUAGCAGCUCGGUCUUUCUUCCAAGAUUUUGAGAAAGAUGUGGAGGGUAACAUAGUAAGGUGCAAGAUGCAUGGUAUAGUGCAUGACUUUGCUCAAUUUUUGACCAACAAUGAAUGCCUAAUUGUGGAGGAUGAUUGUGAAAACCUAAAGACAAACUUGUCCCUUCAAAAGGGUCGUCAUGCAACUGUAAUUCUGGAUGGAAGUACCAGAUCCUCUCUCUCCGUCAAUAACUGGAGGAAUUUACACACACUUUUAGUCGUGUACGGGGGGCAUAUGUUUGACUCAUUUCCACUUGAUUCAUUCCAGCAAUUCAACUAUCUUAGAGCAAUGGAUUUGAGAGGCAAUGGCUCAAUUGUAGAACUCAUUUCCACCAUGUGAAUUCAUACAUUUGAGGUACCUUAAUCUAUCAGCUUGUUGGAGAUUGGUAACAUUGCCCGAAACAAUCAGUGAGUUAUGCAAUCUGCAAACCUUAGAUGUUCGGCGUUGUUUUCAUCUUGCAAAACUACCUCAAGGGAUAAGAAGUCUAAUUAAUUUGAGACAUCUUCAAAUUGCAGGCUGUCUUCGUAUGUGCAGAGGCCUGCCUAAGGGAGUCGGAAGAUUAACAUCUCUUCGAACCUUAUCCUGUUUUAUUGUUGGUGAUGAGAAUGGAAGUGAUGUGUGCAAAAUAGAAGAAAUGAGAAACUUGAAGGAGCUUAGAGAGCUUGAAAUAACAGGAUUGGGCAAAGUGGAAGAUGCAGGGGAGGCUGAAAAGGCAGAAUUGAAGAAUAAGAAACAGCUCUAUGGUCUGUCAUUAGAUUUCCAACCAUGCCGUCAACCAGUAGUGGUGAAGGAAGUGGCUGAAGCCCUACAACCCCAUCCAAACUUAAAAUCUCUGCGCAUAAGAUGGUAUGAAGUCAAGGAAUGGCCCAGGUGGACGAUGGAGCCAUCAUUACCCCAACUAACACAACUUUUCCUUUCAUUUUGUGGUAAAUGUCAGUGCUUGCCUCCUCUGGGGGAUCUCCCACUUCUCGAGAGAUUGGAAAUAGAAUGGAUGGGGCAAGUGAAAUAUGUUGGUGGUGAGUUCUUGGGAUCAUCAUCAAAAAUUGCAUUUCCAAGGUUGAAGCAUCUGUCUUUUGUAUUCAUGUUAGAGUGGGAAAAUUGGGAAGUAAAAGAAGAAAAAGGGAGGAAAGUAAUGCCAUGUCUUCUUUCCUUGGCAAUAGAAGAUAGUCCAAAGCUUACGGCAGUACCGGACCUCCUGCUCCAGAGGACACCACCAAUUAAAAUAAAGUGGGAUAAAGAGGAAAUAGGUGGAAGCUCUUAACAUUUGUCCAUUGGCUUUGCACUGGUUGCCCUACAUGCAAGUAAUUAUUCUAUUUUCUUUUUAAUUUUGCUUUUCUAUAAUUAUUUAUCUUAUCUCUUUUUUUCCUUUUUCUUUUUCCUCUUUUAUAAAUUUAUUUAUAUAUUUUGGCAAUUCCCUAAUUAUUUAUAAAUGUAAAUUCAUAUAUUUGUCGUCCCUUAUUUUUUAAAAUAAGAAGUAAUAAUAACUUUCAUAUAAAAUAUAUCAUUUUUAAUACAAAAUUAUGAACUUAUCCUCCAUAUAUUCUUGAAAACUACUUUCAAUAUAAAAAUAGUAAAAUUAAUUUUUAAAAAUCAUAAAUCUUUGAAGGUAAGUAUGUAAAAGUUUCUUUAUUUUAGAUAUUAGUUACUAUUAUUUAAAAAUAAAAUAAAAUAAAAUAAAAAGUGCAUCCAAACCAUAGCAGUUUUCCAUUUUAAAUCAAUUUGUUUUUCAAAGUAAAAAUUCUUUAAUUUAAAAUUUUUUUUAUUUGAAGGAAAUUUAAUUUAAUUUCCCAAAGGCAUGAGAAAUAACGAGUUGGAAAACUCUAUUCCUUCCUCAAGUCUAAACUCAGGAGAUUCUCUAUUGAAUGUGGUAAUUGAUGCAAUGCAGGUAUGAAACGGAUCCAUCCAUGGAGCAUAUUCUAUCCAAAACAACCUUUCAAAUCAAGAGAUGUAAUUGAGUUUAUGGUAUUGAAUUUCAUGAUAAAUAAAUGUAAAGUUGUGAUUCAUAUGUGAUGAGAACACAUUCCAUUACAUAAAAGUUUAUCUUCUUUUUUUCUCCUCCCUCAUUUGUUGGUCAAAAAAUACUAUAUGUAAAUUAUUCUUUAGUCUUUCUUGUUUUUUUUAUUAUUAUUUUUCAUUUUUUAAAUUUUAAAAAUAAAAUACAAUUUAGUAUAGGAAGUACUGCAAGAAGGAAAUACAAAUCCUUUUUUUUUUUUUUUUUGUUUGAUAUUUUUUGUCAAAUAAAAAUAAUAAUAAAUUUGAAUAAAUAUAUGAGAAAAUUUUAGUGGGUUUAAACAUUUUUUCAAAUUCUCUUUACUUUGUCUUUUCUUUCCCCCCCUUUUUUUUAUAUCACAUUUAAUUCGUUCAUAUUUUUUACUCAAACUUUCGAAAAUCUAAAUGCAAUUCUAUAACUUGGAUAAUUUGUCACACUACAAAUUUAACAAAUUUUGUUUAUAUUUGUACAAUAGAUUUUAUUGUAAGUGAAAAUGGUUUGAUAGCUUAUUCGAGAGAAAAAAUGAAAAUAGUUUUUUUCAAAACAGUUUUUAAAACAAAAAUAAUAAAUGUUUUCAUUUUUAGUCAUUUAAAAUUUCUUUUAGGCUAUAAGUACAAGCCACACUAACUAAAAAUCCAGGGAAAUAUAUAUAAAAGAGAAUGAAUACAUAGUAUUAUUAUGGAAAGGAUCUUUUACUUCAUUGAAGGGAAAGAAAACACACAAGUUAUGUUUGUUUCCACGAAAAUAUGAGGAAAAAUGCAAAAGAAAAAAAAAUAGAGAGGAAAAGUAAAAAGAAAAAAAUAUUUAAAAUCAAUAAAUUUUUUAUAUGCUACUUUAAAUUAAUUUUAUUUAUUUUUCCUUAUCUAUGUAAAGAUCACAUAAUUUAAAAAUGUAUAAAUUUAUAUCUAAUUUUAAUUAUAUUUGGUUUUCUUUCUUAUUUUCUAUGUUGAAACUAAAUAUGAGAAAAUCAUUUUUCUUAAUACUUUCUAGGAACCAAAUAUAAUCAUAAUAUUUGUUGAGAGGAUCUCUCAAUUAUUAUUAUUAUUUUGUUAUAUAUACUACAAAUUAAUAGUGAGGGUAUUUAUUUUGACUUUAAAUUUUUGUUUUUGUUUUGCCAGUUUAUAAUAUCUUUUAGUUUUUUAUUUUUACAAAUUAAAAGAAAGCGACUUUUUUCUUUCUUUCUUUUGAUAGUUUACAAUUAUUUAAAACCUUAUUAAUUCCACUAUUUUUAAAAGAAAACACUAACUUUAGUUGAUUAAAAUGAUUGAUUUUUCAACAAUUUUGGAAAGAAUUGAAAAUGAUGACUAUCAUCAAAAUAAUGAAAGGCUCAAAAUGAAUAAAAGUAUUAAUAUUGUAAUUUUUAAUCAAAUGAGGAUAAAUAAUAGCCAUAACAAAACACUAUACAUCCUUCUUUUAAUGUAUAUAGACAUUAAAAGUAAUUUAUAAUUACAAAUAAAUUUAAAAACAAAUAUCUUUUAAUAAAAUAUAAAUACUAAUAUUAUAAUAAAUUUAUAAAAAUAUGUGUAAUUAAGAAAUAAAUCAUAUUGAAUAUUUUUGUAUUAGUUAGUGGAGAAAGAAUAAAAAAAAGUUGCUCAUGUCAUAUUUUAUUUCCUUUUUAAUGGCUUUUUUAAAAUUAAUUUUUAUUUUUCCAUAUUUUCCUUUUAUUUUUAAAAACACCUUAAAACAACUUCUAUCUAUUCUCUAAAAUUAUUUUUAAUUUUGAUAUAUUUUUAAAUACUAUUUUCAAGGAACAACUAUCAAAAGAGUCUAUAAUGUUUUAUUUUUCUAAAAACAAAACUUUUUGAUUUUUAAAUACAAAAAAAUAUUUCUUGGUUUGUUUGAUGACAAUUAUUUCACUUCCCUUGUGCGUAAAAAAACUUUAAAGUAAUUUUCCAUAGUAGACUAAAGACCAACUUUAUAUUAAUUGAAAUAUUUCAAAAUGUUGUAUUUUAUCAUUUUUUUUAUUUCACAUUUUUUUACAUUAAUUCUGAAAUUUUAUUGUAACCUAGUAUUUAUUUGGAAUUUUUAAAUAUCAAUUUUCCUAUUGGAAUAUUUCCUUCAAAUUAUUAAAAUUUUUAGAAUGAAAUGUAUAGUUGAAUUAGAAGGCAAAUGAUUAAUGAUAGUCUGGAUAUGUACAUUAAAAAAAAUGUUUAAUGGAAAUAAUAAAUGAUGAUAAGAUCAAAAUAUAAAGGAUAAUAGAAGUACAAAUAUGUAAUUUCCACCUACUGCCUACUACCUACUAGUAGAAGUUAGAGGAGGAAAAUCUAGUGUAGCUAGUAAAAGAUAACAAUCUAAAUGUCCAAACCUGCAUGCAAAGGAUAAGGCUUUGUUUGAAACAUGACAACUUCUAAAACUCCAAGGUGAUAUUUGAUACAUUGGAAUAAGAAUGACUACGUUGUUUCUAUUCUCGUGUCUCCUUGGAUUUAAAUGAAUUUGCUGAUUCUAUUUCUUUUUUGUGUUUAGAUGUAUAUAAGAAUGUAAGGUUAGAAUGAUAUUUUGUUUCAAUUUCAAUGUUAAGUAAAAAUAGGAAUGAAAACAAAAACAAAUAAAUAAAUAGAUAAUAAUAUCUGUACUUAUAGUCUAAAAUAUUUUUUUUUUUAUUUUUUUUAAAAACUCUCACACUCUUUAAAAUAUCCUUUUAUUUUCGUUUAAAAAAAUCCUUUAGAGUUUUUUUGGUUAAAUGAUAAAAACCUAUUUGGCUGUGUGAUUUAAAAAUAAAAUUAUUUUUAAAAAUUUAAACCAUUGUUUAGUUGUUCUUUAGAAACAAUUUUUUUUUUUUUAAAAAAAAAAAGUAAAAUAGAUAAUUGUUUUUUCAUUUUUUUCACUAGAGAAAAUGAAUUUCAAAUCAAAUGAGACUUUGUAUUAAAUUUACUAAUAAGUUUAAUAACUUUAGAAAAUAAUUUAAAACUCAUAUAUAUAUAUAUAAUGACUACAAAAAAAUAAUAAACAUAAUUAAUGCUUUAGAUUCUUUAAUAAAUUUUGUAAUUUUUAAGAAUAAUUUAAAAUUUAAAAAUUUGAUUAAUUAAUUAUAGAUUAAUAAAAUAAUUCAAAGUGUAAUCUCCGUAAUUGAGUAAUAAAUAUAUGCAUAUAAUGAAAAUUUUGACUCAUUUAUACCUUAAAAAUUAGAUUUGAUUUUUUUUUAAAUUGAUUUAAAAUAUAAUAGUAUUAGCUAUUAUUAAUUUUGAAUAAUUAUUCUUUAUUUUUGACAAAAUAAAUUAAUUAUGUUUUUAUUAGAUGUCAAUAUCCAUAUUUAAUAAUAUUUAUGAAAUAUAUAAAACAGUAUUAGAAAUUAUUAAUUUUGAAUUGUUAUUAAUUAUUUUUAACAAAAUAAAUCAAUUAAUGUUAAUAUCCAUAUUUGUAUAAUAUUUAUUAAAAAUGUAAUUUAUAAUUUUAUUAUAUUAUUAAUAUUCAUAUUUUAUUAAAAACUAUUUAUUUGCAAUUAUAAAAUUAAUUUUAUUUUUAACAAGACAUGAAUUAAAUUAAGGUUAUAUUACAUAAAUUGAAUUUACAAUUUCAAAAUUUAAAAAAACUUAUCUAAAAAUGUUUUCAGUUGUCUAAUUUGUAAAAACUAUUUUUAAAAAUAGGGACUGUCAAAAGCUAACUUAUUGGCCUGACAAAAUCUAAUAGCACCCCAAAGGAGGAUAAGUUAAAAUUAUUCUCUUUGUUGCUCAAAAAAGAUGAAUAAGAAUUCAAAGAAAUGACAUUUUUCUUUCCAUGGAAAUGAUGCCCUAAUUAUCAUUCUGUCUCUGUUUCCAUUUUAAAUGAAUACAAAGAGAGGCAGGUGAGAGGUCCUUUCUUCAUAUUAUUAAAACCAAGGAUAUUCCAAAAUAUGAGAAGAAAGGGGUUGGUGAGGAAUAGACCUUCGUUCUCCUUUCUUGCAAUAGCAUCAACAGCAGUAGAAAUCAUUCAAGGAAAUAGUUAAGUCAAUACACAUGACUUGACCAAAUGCAUGAACCGACUGUGGACAAACCCAUGACUUGUAUCUUCUAUGCAACUCUUAAUGCAUAAAAGUCAUGUACAAUGUAAGAUAUAUGAGUUGAAUGUUCAAAUCAAUGUCAAUACACCAAAAGGAUAGGAAGGAGAUAGUUAAGUCUUACUUUAUUACGUCAUAUCUUGCUUUUAGGAGUUCAAUCCCAACAGAAAUGGUAUUAGAAUCCCCUAUCUUGUAUCAAAAUGCUUAUUCCUUCCUUCUUUCAUCUCCUCUUAUGCAUCUAGGCUUCUCCAUUUUGUUUCUAUCAUUUUUGUUUCUUUAGGUUGCCAUGCACUCACAUUUGCACCCAUUUUAUUGUUUUUUUCCUACAUUCUCCACUGGAUAUAAACAUUAGUCCAACAAUAAAGGCUUAAUGUAUAUUUAAGUUAAAAUGGUAGGGUUGAGGUCUUCAACGGAUUUGAACCUAGAAAUAAGACUCUAAGGUGUCAUAUAUUUCCUAAUUUCAAUUAGGUCACUUAUGACUAAGGCAUGUGACAAUAGGUAUUCAUAAGAUAGACACUUUAAUAUUGUUGGAAAUUCUAGAUUGCUCUGUUUCCUAGCCUUAGAUAAGAUAAAAUGCAUGCAUCUAUCCUUAGGCUUCUCUUAAUCCAAUCAAAGUGGUUAUGAAAACCAAUAAGAUUAAUUGAUCUAGAGAAAAAUAGCUCAUACCUAUGAUCUGGAUGUUCUUAAAUAAAUUCUAGUGAAGUUGUCUAAGAAGUUGUAAGUCUCGUUUACCUGGUGUCCUUCCACCUAAUCUUUCCUCACAUGGAUCUAAACAUGUAAGAGAAGUGUGGGCUUCUCUUCCUCCUUGAGGGUGGUUAGGGUUUUUUUUGUAGAAAAUCUUUUUUGAAAGAAAAAGUGUCAAAAGUCUUAACCCUAAACCUCUAAGGGGAUUUAUAUAGGGUUCCUUAUAGGUUUAAGUGAUUGAGCCUAAAUUGGGUUGGGGUCACCUAAUUCAUCCCACCUAGGUCCUAGUUAAUUAAUUAGUCCUAUUAGGUUUCAAUUAAUUAAUUAAUUAGCCUAGUCUAAAAAAAUAAUUCAUAAGAUCUAAUGCAACCUUUACUUUUACUAAAACACUCGUAUACACACUUAUCAAUCAAAAACCCAAAUCUCUCCAAAUAAAUCGUGUUAAAUGUAAUAUUAAUAAACAUGUCAUCAAGGAAUACAAGCUAGAGCAGGGAUCACUAGGACCCAUAAGAAAAUACUAACUCCCUCAUAAUUCAAUUUUGAAGUUGACUCAACAUCCCAUUAUAGAGAGUUAAUUGCACUUCGAUAUCCUAUGAUAUUAUAAUGAGAUAUAAGAACCCAGAUCCAUGACCCAUGUUAUAUAUCUCAAACCCAUGAGAUAUCAUAGUGCCUAUCUUAAGUAUAUUUGUUGCCAACAACUUCUACCAAUAAUGAUCAAAUCCAUAGAGAAUAUAUGACCAUCUUAGGGUCUUAUUCGCAUGUCAAAGUCAUUGAAGACUUUAGCACUAACUCAGUAUCCUUUCAUGGUUGAGAGCCCAUAUAGUAUAGCAACUUAGUGAUAUCAUAAUUACCAAUAGUUAAUUUUAUGACUCACCGUAAGUCCUGUCCAAUAUGUAAUAAUACACAUUAGUACACUUACCAUGAGAAUCCUAUCCCGAUGACUAAGACUCUUCAUCCCUUCAAUUAGAAGGUAAUGCACUACAAUCUCAAAUGGAUUGCCUAAGUCCAUGAGCGAUUUGUGAACCAAUCAUUUAUUUGUAAGAAACUCAUGACUUGGAUCUUUCAUACAUCUCCUAAUGUACCUAACUCAUGUACAAUGUAGAAGGUGUCAAGCUUAAAUGCUAAGAGAGUAUAAUACUUGAGUAGGAUAGAAGAAACGGAGAAAUUAGAAUCAUAUCAUUAAAUGAUAAAUAUGUUUAUUAUUACAUCAUGUCAUACUUUUAAAUGUUCUAUCCUAACAAUGUAAUCAUAUACACUAAUGCAAUCAUCAUGAAAAACUUAUGUUAAUGACCAUAACAAGUCAUCCCUCUAAUUAGAAGGUAGUAGAAUACAAUUUCAAAUAGAUUGCCUAAAUCCAUGAACCAAUUAUUAACAACUCAUCAACUUGCAAGAAAUCUAUAAUUUUGAUCUUCUAUAUAGCUUCUAAUGCACCUGAGUCAUGUACAAUGCAAUUGAUGUAGACCCAAAUGCUUAAAUUAAUAAUGCAAAUAUGGAUGAAAUAGUGAAAAUAAAAAUCAUAGUAUAUAGAUAUAUUAAUGAAAUCUUAUUUACUUACAUUAUAUCAUGUUUUUAAGGGCUAUAUCCCAACACUUUGCAUUAUUUAAUUGCUUAAACCUUUGGUUUUGUCCCUCAAAGGCACUAAGACGGUACUCAUGUCUUUUUAGUUUCAAUAAGCACCAAAACAUUCCACAUGGAAAUAAAAAUCUCCUGCCUUCCUUUUAACUUAAAAGUAUUUUUUACAUUUUGUAAGAAUAUUUUGUAAUAUAUGUCACCUACAUAAAAAAAUGUGAGGAAGUUGGAAACACAUUCUAUAGUUCAUUCAUAAGAGCAAGUUCCCCAUCAAUGACAAGUACUCUUGGAAAGAAGUCUUCAUGCAUCAAAUUUCUCAAAUUUUGUAGACUUGUGUGUACUUAUCUUCUUUUUCACCCCCAAGAUAUGUAAAUGCAAUAUCAAAUAUCUUAUCAAUUGAUGUUAUACCAACUAUCUCAAGCAAAAGCAUUCAAUACCAAGGAUGAAAAUAUCGGUAAUCACGGAUAUAUCGGUAAUUCGAUUUUACGGAUAUAUCGGAGAUAUUUUGGAUAUAUCGGAGAUAUAUCAGCGAAUAUUAUUGGUAGGCUUAAAAUUGUUAAAAACUCAUGGAAAUGCAAGAAAAACCUCAUAAUAAUAUAAUUAGAAAUAUAAUAGACAUUUUAAAGUUGUUUUAUUGAAAAAUUUGAUAUAUAUAUAUAUAUGAUAUAAUUUGCGAUAUUAGAUGUAAUUAUAUCAUGUCGAUCUAUAAGAAAUGUUAAUUUCGUAAUUGUUCUGAUUAUAAAGUCACAUCAAAUACUUCAUUUCAUUAAAUAACAAUAAUUUGUACACAUUACAUUGCAAUGUCCCUUUAGUACCAAAAUGAGGAUCGAUGUGGUUCAAUGGGAUUGAUAGAUGAAGGAACCCCGACUUGCUGUUGGAGACAAUAUUGGUACCAAGUCAAUGAGCCUCGAUAAUAUUGGUUAUAAAUUCUAACAUGCCAUGCAUAUAUCUCUUGAGUCCUGCCUACUGCUUCUACAUGGAUAGGAUACUCAAAGUUCACCCAUGUGUUAACGCCAAAUCCUUCUUCCAUCUGAUAUGGAAUUUGGUAUGGUAUUUGUCUGGAAGGGGAAUAAUGUGACAUACCAUACUCUUCAUAUGUUGAACUUGAAGGUUGACCAUAACUCAUCACAUGAGGAGGGUAGAUGUUAGCCUCAUUCGAGGAGUCACUAAAUUGAGUCCCUAUACUCAUAGAUUCAAAACUCCCUGAAAGUAACUCCUCGUUAUAUGGUUCCAUCAUUCGUUCUUUUCCUCUAUAAGGCCUCCCAAUAGCUCCUAUGCCUGGACCAGCUCUUCUAGAGCCAUGGUCUUCAUCCUGUGUGCAGUGUGUGAAAUCAUUUUCACAAGUAAAUAGGCUGAUUGGAUAUUGACUAUGUCGACGUUCAUCAAUAUCUCCUCCCCCAUUAUCACCUCCAUCAUCAGUUCCACCUCUUGAACCAUCGUAACCAGAAGCAGAAGUACCUACAGCACUAAGUCUACUACUAUGGCCAGCACUUGUGGAGUCAAUCUCUUGGUGGGAAUGCAAUGUCGCAUGAAGUGAAUCAUCAGUACCUUUGCUAAAACUUUCAAAGUGAACUUCUUCGGACAACACACGUUCAACAUUAACUCCAAAUUCUCGAGCAUGAGCGGCAAUUCGUGGAUCAGGAUUUCCAACUUCGUCAUCCAAGUGUAUAGGCCUAACCCACUGGAACAAUUGAUUAUCUUCUUCUUCACCCACCUUGGCUAAAAUGUCAAGAAGAUCAAGGUAAUCUUUUUCAGCAACUCGAUCAUUUUCUGUCUCCAUAUCGCGUAACUUUAGCCUCAUAUUAUAGUAACAAAACACUAAUUGCUCCAAUCGAGGGUAAGCCAAACGAUUUCGUUGCUUUGUGUGGAUUAAAGCAAACGUGCUCCAAUUUCUCUCACAUGCAGAAGAUGACACAGUUUGUGAGAGAACUUUGAUGGCUAACUUUCUCAAUGUAGGUGUUUGAUUCCCAUACAUAAACCACCAUUCAGCUGCAACGAAUUUGAUAAUCAUAUAAAUACUUAUGUGGUGAAUUUAUAAUAAUAAUAAUCAAUUUUUUCCUAUAAAGACUCACUAGGCACCAUGGUUGACCUUGAUGCAAUUGCUGCUCGAUCACCGAAUCCUCUUUUUGCAUCUCGAAAAAGUACAAGCUAUGUAUUCAACAUUUAAUUUGUUAGUAAACGUUCAAAUAAAUUGAUGAAUGAAAUUAUUGUUUUAUUGACAAAAAUAACAAUUUUUUAUUCACCUCAUUUCCAAAUUGACCAAGCGAUUCAGUAGUUGGAUCUAAUUUUGCAAAAACAUCAUGGACAGCUUGAAGUAGUUCCAGAUCACUACCAACUCCACACCUAUAUUGAAAUCUUGGAUUUAAGAAGUAUGCUACAAUAAAAUUUAGUAGAGUUAGUAUUUUUUUUUUAAAGAAACUUAAAUACAAAGUAAAAACUUAUAAAGAUAUAUAGUAUUUAAGUACCUGCUGCAUGAAGUGGAUGUUUUAGUGUUUUCUGCCAAUGAUCUUGUAUUAUUUUGAACAUCCAAUCUCCAGCUCCUUGACGAAUAAGGUUCUCUUUCAUCACAUGCAUAAGCUCGUACACAAAUGGCAUUGUGGGAACAACUUCAGAAUCCACAAGUCAAAGCACCACGUAUAAUGGCUCAUAUAAUGAAACUAUAUUUGUCAAUCUGUCCCAAUACGUAUGGUCAAACAACAAUUGCUCCAAUUCUCGUCCAAGUUUUGUUCGACUGAGUUUGUGUUGUGCCCAUUCAUCACUCAUAAACAAUUUUUUCAAAUCAGCCAUUUUUUUUAGAAGACUGUCAAGAGCAAUAUAAUUGGUAGCAAACCUUGUAGCUCCUGGUCGAACAAUGUCUCCACCACAAUACUUUCUCAUUUGUGCUAGUAACCAACCAUGAUUGUAAAUGAAGUUAGUUAUCUUGCGAGCAUUGUUUAUCACCUCGAUAACAUUGGGUCUUUUACCGAUGUCUUCAAAGAUUAAGUCGAUGCAGUGUGCCGUACACAGAGUCUAAUAUAAGUUAUACUUCUUCAUCAAUUGUUUCCCUACUUUCAUGAAUGCCGACCCAUUAUCUGUGACAAUUUGGACCACAUUUUCCUUACCGACUUCUUUGAUAAUAGUCUUCAAAAGCUCAUAUAUAUACUUGUGGUCUUUGAUAUAGUUCGAUGCAUCGACUGACUUAAGGAACACCGUGGUCCCUUUAGAAUAAACCAUGAAAUUAAUAAUACUUAAUUUCGUGGGCCCUGUCCAUCCAUCUGACAUUAUUGUGCACCCAUAUGUCUUCCAUUUUUCCCUUUGUUGGUUCACAUAAGCUUCCAUUUCUUUGUACUCCAUUUCCAAGUAUUUGUUCUUUAUUUCAUAUGGAGAUGGAGGUUCGAUUCCCAUUCCUGCACUUCAUAUGUAAAACAUGUCAAAAAAUACUAUACUUACUAAAAGUAUAACACAAUAUAACAUUUGAUAAAUUAGUAAUUACCUGCUUGUUGUGCACCAAUAAUCAUAUUCUUGAAGUGAUGAGACUUUGCUUUUGCGGGUGCGACACUCUCAUAAAUGAAGAAUUUGCUGAUUAAGCGUCCCAUCGUUUCUUUAAUUGCACCACCCUUGAAUAUAUCUUUGAUAUUUUUUUGUUUUGCUACAGAAGACUUGUAAAGCGAAGGGGCAAUAGGGGGUGAAUGAUGCGAAUGUCGCAUACUCUGUGAUUUUCUCAUCGUUGACGGUAUACCAGUAGAAGACUCUCCCAAUUUGCGUUUGCUUCCUACAAUAUUCUCAUAUUGUUCACGUUCCCAAUUAGAUGCUUUCGAGGCACGAACUUCAGAUCGAUAUGCAUCUCGCUCAUCUAGGUGCAUAUUUGUCGGAUACAUAUACACAUCUUCAUCCUCAACAUCUUCAUCAUCAUCAUCUUCGUUUACCAAAUGUGUAUGAUGCGUCCCCAUUGUGCCACGUAAUUGACUACGAAUUUCUUCAAUAUCAACAUUUUUCUUUGCUUUUGCUUUUUGUUUGUCAUGCACCAACAAUCGUAUCUCUUCUUUCACUUCGGGCGGCACUCUUGGACACUUUUUGGUGUUGUUAUGCAGGUCCUUAUGCAUUAAAUGAGACUUGAAUCGUGUGAUACCUCCACGUUUCAUUACCAACCCACAAAAAUUACAAAUUGUUCCAUUUCGAUUACCCUCAAUUGGUGAACAAUACUUCCAAGCCGGAUCUCGCCCUGGCACGGCAGAACCACCUUCACUAGCCAUGCUAAAUCUAUUGCAAGAAAAAUACACUUAAAUUUAAAUCUAUGUUAAUUAAACUAAUUAAAUAAAUUAACUAAGUUAAUUUUUGAAAUCUAAAUGUAAUUUUAUGACAAAUUUACUAAAUAUUGAAAUUAAUCAUAAUUGAAUAUAAAAAUAAAUCAUGAUAAUAUAAAAAAAAUUGAGCAUAUUUAAUAUUUCAUAUAUAGUAGUUCAUGUUAAUUUAACUAAUUAAAUAAUUUAGCUAAGUUAAUUUUUAAAAUCUAAAUGUAAUUUUAUGACAAAUUUACUAAAUAUUGAAAUUGAUCAUAAUUGAAUAUGAAAAUAAAUCGCGAUAAUAUGAAAAAUUGAGCAUAUUUAAUAUUCCAUAUAUAGCAGUUCAUGUUAAUUUAACUAAUUAAAUAAAUUAGCUAAGUUAAUUUUUAAAAUCUAAAUGUAAUUUUAUGACAAAUUUACUAAAUAUUGAAAUUAAUCAUAAUUGAAUAUGAAAAUAAAUUGCGAUAAUAUAAAAAAUUGAACAUAUUUAAUAUUCCAUAUAUAGUAGUUCAUGUUAAUUUAACUAAUUAAAUAAUUUAGCUAAGUUAAUUUUUAAAAUCUAAAUGUAAUUUUAUGACAAAUUUACUAAAUAUUGAAAUUAAUCAUAAUUGAAUAUGAAAAUAAAUUGCGAUAAUAUAAAAAAUUGAACAUAUUUAAUAUUCCAUAUAUAGUAGUUCAUGUUAAUUUAACUAAUUAAAUAAUUUAGCUAAGUUAAUUUUUAAAAUCUAAAUGUAAUUUUAUGACAAAUUUACUAAAUAUUGAAAUUAAUCAUAAUUGAAUAUGAAAAUAAAUCGCGAUAAUAUAAAAAAUUGAGCAUAUUUAAUAUUCCAUAAUUAACCAUGUUAAUUAAAUUAAUUACAUAAUUUACUAUGUUAAUUAAAUUAAUUAAAUAAUUUAGCUAAGUUAAUUAGUUUAAUGUAAUUCUAAAUGCAAAUUUAAAUAACAAAUAAUCAUCUAAAAUAAAUAUAUCAUAACCUAAAUUAAUUCAAUAAAAAUUCACAAAAUAAUUACAAUUGAAUGUAAACAUACUAAUUAAUUAAAAAUACAUGAAUUAAUUAUUGCAAACAAAAUUAAUUAUAAUUUCAAACAAACAUACCUUAAAAUGAUUGAAUAAUUGAGCAGUCUUGGAAAAGAUUGGAGUAAUAAGAGAGCAAAUGAAGAAUCAAAGCAAAAAUGGAUGAAAUUGAUGCAAAAUUGGCUAUUUAUAGAUGAAAUUUGGGCCAAAAUAGCCGUUGGAACCUUAAGUUACCGUUUAAAAUUAAUUUUGGCCGUUGGAUCACAAUUUGGAAGCAAUCUUGCCGUUGGAUCUCUUUGUUAAUGUUGGGAUUCAAAUCUGGGCGUUGGAUCAACACGGGCGUGAUCUGGGCCGUCAGAUCACGUUGGAGAGAGAGGGACGAUUUUUCGCCAAAAAUCGCCAAAAAAUCGGCGAUAUAUCGCCGAUAAAUCGGCGACACACGGGAUUCUCAGGCGAUUUAUUGAUAAAAUCGCCGAUUUAUCCUGUGUCGCUGACAUAUCGGCGAUAUAUCGCCGAUUUUUUGGUGAUUUUUGGCGAAAAAUCGCCCCACCGACUUAUCUCCUCCAUUUGUCGUUUCGCCCCCCGCCGACACGCGAUAUAUCGGCGAUAUUUCGCCGAUUUUUUCCUCCUUGUUCAAUACCUGUUCAUCUUGUAGGCAAAAUCCAUGAUCAACACCAUUGGAAAGGUUAACAACAAAUAAAUGGAUAUUGGCUAACAUUAAGUUUAUAAUAUAGUCAUUUUGUUCAUCCUUCUAUGUCAUUCGAUGUAGUUCAACUCCAUUAAUUUAUGCAUCAAUUGUUGCUUUUAUGACCUCUCACCAUAUUCAUUUACUUUAUGUUUAUAAUUUGCAUUACAUAUUAUCCCAAUGUGCUACAGUUGAGUUCAUUCCUCUCCUUUUAACUAUUUAUUAUUUUCUUUGGAUUAAUGUCACUCUUUAAUAUUUUUAUUAAGAUACUCAUUUCUUCUUAAUUUAAAUGAUUAGCAAAAGAAUAUCCUUUAAGAUAUUGUGCUUUAGCAUAAUUAUGUCUUUCACAUUUAACAACCAAUAUCUAAUCAUCAUUAGUUAGUAGUUUUAUACCCUUAAGAGUAAAUGGACACCCAUAUUUCUUUGUUUCUAUUAGUCUCUUUUUCUCUUUCUUUUUUACUCUCAUAUUCAAAAUUAGCCUUUCUUGAAUCCUUAUAUACUCCAUUUCAUUCUCAAGUAAAAGUAAUCCUAUCAUAUAUAUCCUUUACUAAUUAUAAUAACCAUUUCAUUUCUUUUACCGAUCUUUGACAUCCAUUUGAUUAAUGCUUUCCUAGUACAAUUAAUUAUAUAUGUUGUGAAGACAAUCGAGUAGUUUAUCAUUGUCGAAGCUUAUAAAUGCUCUAUCAUAUAUAAAAAAUUUAAUAAAAUUCAAUUUUCUUUUAGAUAAGAAAUAAAGAAAAAGUUGUUGGAAUGUAUGGUGUUGGAAGUCUUUAUGAGUGUCCCUUAGGAAUUCCUUACGAUUGUUUAGAACUAUACUUCUAGAUGCACAUUAGGGUGUCUAGAGGUAUAGUUAUAAACAUUUUAAGGAUGUUUGAAAUUAUAGGAUUAAACAAUUGUAAUUCAUCAAACCCUUGCAACUUCGAACACCUUUAGCAAUGAAAGGAAAACUCGUUGACCUUGACCUAUAUAUUUUUGGUAGCAAACACUACCCAUUUUCUCUAUCAAUCUCCUACCAAACUUGGCUGUAAUAUACAUAUUCUCUAUCAAUCUUCUACCAAUCUCGGUUGUAAUUUAAAGAUCAGACAUAUCUUUUGUAACUAGUAUAUAAUACAAUGAAUCACAAAGGAAUGAUAUGCUCUUAUUUUUCUAUCCUUUCUAUAAGCCUAACAUGGUAUCAGAGCCAUACUUGCUAUAAGCAAGCUUUGCACAGCAUGUCCAACAACCUUCAUCAUCAUUCCAAUUUUUUUUCUCUCUAUUCACAGUUGUGAAUCAUGGCUAAUGAACUUUCUUCAUCUUUUGCAAAUCUUGUAGUUCUCACAAUAGGAAACAAUCUCUCAUCUCAACCAAACACCCUCAUUUCUAUCAAUGUUGCCACACAAAUGCCAUUCAAACUUAGCAAAAUGAACUAUGCAUCUUGGAGAGCCCAGUUCACCAAUCUUCUAUUUGGAUAUGAUCUGUUGUGCUUCCUCGAUGGCACAACUCCUUGUCCUCCCGAAACCACCUUGCAAUCUGGUUCUACAACGCCUAUCUCCAAUCCUAAGUGCAAGUUAUGGAAAUGACAGGAUCGUCUCAUUCUCCAUGCCAUUCUUGCAUCAGUCACAUGGGAUGUUGCCCCACUUAUCUCCUCUGCAACAACUUCUCAUGAAGCAUGGUAGAAACUGGAGACCACUUUUGCAAAUCGAUCAUGAAUCAGAAUGCUUAGUUUAUGUAAUAUUUCGAUGAAGACAACAAAGGGUUCUCAAUCCAUUGCUGAAUACAUGCAAAUCAUCAAAAUCAUUAUUGAUGAUUUUGCUCUCAUGGGCUAUCCUCUCAGUGAAGAUGAAAUUAUCCUUCAUGUUCUCAAUGGGUUAGGUAAUGAAUUUAAAGAAAUUAAUGUUGUCAUUCGAGCCAGAGACUCACCAGUGACAUUCGAAGGACUUCAUGACAAAUUACAGGAUGAAGAAACUUUUUUGAAGCAAGAUGGCACAAGUAAGGAAACUCCACCAAUCAUUGCUCAGUUUCAUCACAAAUUCUUUAAUCAUAAAGGAAAUAGUGAAAAAUCUGGUGGACAUCCAAGAGGCAAUUUCAACAAUAAAGAAUCAACCACUAACUUUGGCAAUAGAAAUAUCUUUGACAAUCAGAGAAAAAAAGAUUGUUCAAGGUAAUAAAAAAUUCUCCAAUCAAGGAAAUCACCAUCCCUAACACGAUUUCAAUUCUUCACAACAUUCUUGGCGUCCCAACAAUGGUACCAAUCAACACCGAAUUAUUUGUCAACUAUGUGACAAAGCUGGCCACAGUGCCAAGGUAUGUCAUUCCUGACCACCACCACUCUUCUCACCUUAAGCCAACUACAUGGCCAGGGAUCAAGCCAAUGACAAUGACUCUUGGAUAGUUGACUCGGGUGCCUCUCAUCACAUCAUUUCGAAUCUUCAAAAUCUCUCACUACACUCUGAUUAUGGUGGUAAUGAGAACAUUAUGAUUGGCGAUGGUAAUGGCAUUCCUAUAACUCAUGUCGGUUCCACCACAAUUGAAGCACCCACAACCACUUUUUCGCUUGAGAAUGUUUUGUGUGCACCCUUGAUUAAAAACAGCCUUCUUUCUGUUUCUCAAUUUUUCCAUCAAAUAACACAUCUAUUGAAUUUUUUCCUUAUUUUUUUACUGUGAAGGAUUUGAGCAUGGGGGCAUCCUUGGUGCGAGGUUGGAAUAAAGGAAAUGUCUAAGAGUGGCCAACAUCAUCCUCAACCUCCACAACCAAAACACAUGCCUUUCUUGCUAACAAACCCACCAUGAAGUCUUAGCAUCGUCGUCUUGGUCACCCCCCAUCUCAAGUCCUCACCAAGCUAGUUUCUACUCAAGCUUUGUCCAAUAGUGUCUUUAGUUAACUGUGAAUGACAACAAAAACAACAACAAUAAUAAUGAUCAUGCUUAUGACCACAUUAUUGUUGUUUAGUAGUAGUAAUAGUAGUAAUAUUAGUGUUAGUAUUAGUGGUAAUGGUAUCAUUUAAAAGUAGUACAGUUAAAUGGAGAAAAGUUGAUCUAAGUUUGGAUGUUAUGUUUUCUGUUACCUACUUAAAGAUUAACCAUAAGCAUUACCGUUGGUGGGAAGUUGCUCGGCUACAUAAUGGGAUUACUCUGAUCCAAACCAUAAAUCCCCUUGCCCAAAUGAUGGUGGAAAUAGACAUGGUUUUGAGAUAACUCAUCCAAGAUUCCGUCUGUACUAAAAUCUGUUGGUCUACGUAUCCAGAUUAGACCAAAUUAAUACCAUAUCCAUAAUCGCCUGUUACUUCGAAUCAAACUGAUCUUCUGAAUCUUCCGAAGUUCUGAUUUUCAUCAUAAGUUUUUGGGAUUGUGACUGAAGUUUUUGUUUUUGUGGAUGUAGAGCUUUGGUUGAGCUUCUGGAGUGAAGUACACUAUAAUUCAUUGUAUGCAAGUGGAGGUAAUGAAUCCAACAUAUAUCAUGUGCACGGGUUUCUGUAGUUCUUUUUGAUUCUUUCAGUGACAUCGGAUUUUAAUUUUUUGGUUGGAUAUGUUUGCAGACGUUCCUUCUAGAGCACCGAGAAAAAGGCACUCACCUGCUCAAGAUCAUUUAUUUUCUGUACCUAUUCCAUCUCCAUGCUAGAAACUCAGUUAUUGUUUAACAUGACUUCCAGAUUCUCUCUCUUUUCAAUACUUCAGUUGAAAUUUACUUGUCAGAAAUUUGUAUAUGAAUGAAGUGUGAUAAUUACAUGCACCCUUUGCUUAUCAUUUUAUACCCAUGAAGUCAAAUUUUUCAUGGGCUUUAUUCAGCUUCAAUACUAUUUGGUACAAAUGUCUAGUGUCAUUCCAAAACAUCUCGAGACCUUUUCGCCAUGUUUGGCAUAUGUUAUGAGGAGGAAUGAGAAUGAAUAUUUUGUUUUCAUUUUUAUUUCUCUUUGAAUAGGAAAGACUUUGGAAUGAUUAUUUGUUUUUAUGUUAAUAUUAGAUAAUAAUGGGAAUGAGAAUGAAAAAAGAAAUAAAUUGAUAAUAAUAUUUAUAGAUAUAAUCUAAAAUUAUUUUUUAUUUUCAUUUAAAAAAAAAUUUCAAGCUACACAUAGUUUAUAAUAAUUUUUAUGUUUUAUUUACAAUAAAUAUCUUUGAGUUUUUUUUUUUCAUUCAGAAGUCUCCUUGGUUGUGUGUUUUAAAACCAAUGUCCCAUUUUUUAAAAGAAAAAAUUGUUUUUGAAAAUGUAUGAUACUGUUUAAUUGUUAUUAUUUAGAAAUUUGUUUUUUUUUUUAAAAAAAAAAGUGAAAUAAAGAACGUUUUUGGAAAACAAAUAAAAGUUAUUUUUUACUAGUUUUUAAAAUAAAAGGAAAUAAAAAUAAUAAAAUAAAAUAAAAUUCACACAAAGCCAAUAAAAUAGAAUAUGAUAAUAUUUUUCUUUCUUCAUUAUCUUUUUACCACCUAAUAUCAAUACAAAAAAUCUUCAAAUAUGAUAUUUGAAUUAUGUGUGUUUUUCUAUCUUUUUAACUUGUCUAUUUUUUUUUAACAAAUAGAUUCCAAAUCUAGCAAUUUUUAAUAAAAAAAAAUUAUUAAUUUUUUAAAAUAAUUUGGAGCUCAAGAUUCCAUUCAAUUAGUAUUAGAAAAUUAAGAAUGAAAAAUUGAUCAAAUUAAUAUUAAAAGGUCACCAACCUAAAUUCAUUUUCAAGGGUUUUACGAGUUUUUUCCUUAUAUAUAAUCAUAUUUAAAAAAAAAAUUAUCACUAGGUAAAUAAACUCUAAAUUAAGGAAAACUUAAUGGGUUGGAUUUGCUAAUGAGUCUAGUGAUUUUUAAAAAUAGUUUAAAAGCCAAAUAAAUAUUAGAAAUUUAUGGAUAAAAAUUGAUUUAGAAUGAUUAUAUUGUUUUAUUUUUUUUAUUUGUAUAGAAUCUUUUUUUUUAAUAGUGAAAUGAAUUUCAAAUCAACUGAAACUUUUUAGUAAAUUAAUAAACUUAAUAUUUUUAAAAAUAAAAAUAAAACUCAAAAAUGCAUGAUAAUUAUAAAAAUUAAUAAACCAAAACUUACACUUAUGAGUUGUGACUUUAUUAUUUCUACCAUACAAAACUAUAUAUUUUUUUUAUUUUCUCACUAGGUAGAUAAAUUUAAAUGAAACAUAAUUAAUAUUUUAAAUUCUUUAAAGAAUCUUUUAAUUUUUAAGAAUAAUUUGGAAUUUUAAAUCUAAUUAAUUAAUAAUGGAUUACAUAAAAAUGUGAGAAUACUAUAUUCCUAAUUGAGUACUAAAUGUGUGCAUGUAAUGAAAACACGGUUCAUUUCUACCUUAAAAAAAUAAAAAGGUUAAACUUUAAUUGUUUUUAAAUUCAUUUAAAAUGAAACAGUAUUAGCAAUUAUUAAUUAUCUAUUUUUGAUAAAAUAAAUCAAUUAUGUUUUUAUGAGGAUGUUAAUAGCCACAAUUUUAGAAUAUUUAUAAAAAAAAUAUAAUUUAUGAUUUAAUUAAUUAUGCUUUUGUGAGGAUGUUAAUAGUUGUAAUGUUACUAUUCAUAUUUUAUUUAUUUGUAAUUAUAAAAUUACUUUUAUUUUUAAUAAUUGAACUAAAUUUAUAUUAUAUAAAUUGGAUUUAUAUAUUUUUUUAAAAAUCAAAAUAAAAAAUCAUUUUUUAAAUCAACUUAUAUAAAUAAGUUUUUGGUGUUUUAAUUUUUGAAAACAAUUUGCGCAGAGAGAAUUAAAAUACCUCUUUUGGGAGAUCGGUUGAAAUCUCACUCAUACAUAGGAUUUCAUUUCUGUUGAAAUCGUUUUUUAUUUCAUUCUUAUUAUUAUUAAAGUUGUCUAAACAUGAGAAUGAAUAAGAAAAGAAAUGAGAUUCUCAUUUAUGAAUGAAUGAGAAAAGAAAUGAAAUUCUCACUUAUAAAUGGAUGAGAAAAGAGAUAAAAUAUUAAUUCUUACUCCUAUUCUUACGUACCAAACACGGAUUAUGAGUGUUUUUAAUAUACAAGAAUAUCAAUCGGCAUAAGAAUGACACUGAAGGUGCAAGACAAUAAUAAUUUUGAUAACAAUGGGUUGUGGUUUUCGUAAGGAGUUUACUACUUAGUUUGUUUUUUAUUUUAUUAAUAUUUGAGUUACAUUGUUUGUUAUUAUUUAAUGUCAUAAUAUUGUUAUAUAUUAAAUAAAUGAACUUUAAACUUAUAAAAAUAAUUACUUAUUUUUUAUUAUUUUAUAUAAUUAAGAUAAUACAAUUGAAAACCCAUAAUUUAAAAAAAUCAAUUUAAUAUAUUUUCAAAUAUCCCAAAUUACCAAAAUUUUUUACAUUUUUAUUUUAUAUAAUUAAGACAAAAUAUUUUAAAACUAAUAUGUAAAAAUAUUGCAAUUUAAUAUAUUUCUAAAUAUUCCAAAAUUCCAAAAUAAAUUACAAUAACAAAAGUUUAUAAUGAUAAAUUAUAUAAUUAGUUGUGAAAUUGGUAAUUAACCAAUAAUGAUGGUUUCCAAAUUGUCUUUGAGUGUUAAGAAAAUACAAAAAAAAAAAAAAAAAAAGAAAUCUAGGUUUUUAAUUUCACUUAUUACUCGCUCAUUUUUAUGUAGUGGAUAUUUUGGUUAUGAAUUUAUUAUUGAAAUGUGUGUUCAAUUAUUAAAAUUAAUUCAUUAAUUUUUAGAUUUUGUAAAUUUAGAAAUUAAGAAUAUGAAAUUCUCACUUGUUUACUUAUCAAAAUUAACUAAAUUUUUUAAUUUUAUUGAUACGUACGAGUUAUAUUUUGAAGUUAUAAUUGGAGAAACUUUACCCCACACACCUAAAUUAUUCAACACCGGCUCCAUUAAUUUAAACUAAUGACCCCACACGCCUAAAUUAUUCAACGCCUGCUCCAUUGCUCAAGUCAACCAGCGCAAUAAAGCUUUAGAUCCCAUCCCCCCAUCUCAUUGGUCUUCUUCAUUCAUCCUCCAUUCCUCCUCAUUCAUCAAUCCCAUUCCCACCUUCUUCAACCGGCACCCUGAUGGCGGAUGCUCUCCUUUCUAUUGUCUUAGAUCAGUUGGGUUCUCUUAUCCAACAACAAAUUCAUCAGGAAGUUUCUCUGGUUGUGGGUGUUGAAACAGAAAUCCAAAGCCUCACCGACACACUCCAGGUCGUCCGAGCUGUUGUUGCAGAUGCAGAGAAGAGACAAGUGAAGGAGGAACUUGUCAAAGUUUGGUUGCAGAGGCUUAAAGACAUCGCCUACCAAAUGGACGACGUGCUGAAUGAGUGGAGCACUUCUCUUCUCAAAUCUCAGAUUGAGAGAGCUGAAAGCCCUUCCAUGUCUAAGAAGAAGGUAAGCUCCUGCAUUCCCUCCCCUUGCAUCUGUUUCAAACGAGUUGCUGGCCGUCGUGACAUUGCUCUUAAGAUUAAGGAUAUCAAACAACAAGUUGAUGACAUUGCAAACCAGAGCAAUGGGUUCAAUUUUACAUCCAGAUUUAGCAACGAGGAACCACAGAGGCUUAUAACUAUAUCUGCAGUUGACAUUUCAGAGGUAUGUGGUCGGGAUAAGGACAGGGACACCAUACUAAGGCAGCUGUUGGGUGAGAGUUGUGAACAAAACUUGGGCCCCUACAUCAUCUCCCUAGUUGGGCUGGUGUCGGCAAGACUAACUCUUGCUCAACUAGCCUUUAACCACCAUGAGGUGGAGGCCCAUUUUGAUAUAAGAAUCUGGGUCUGCGUGUCUGAUCCUUUUAUCCCAGUAAGAAUUUUUAGGGAUAUUUUUGAAGCCCUCUAUGAAAAGUCUUCCGAUGUCCAUAAUCCUGAAGUUCUACAGAAAAAAAUUCAAGCAUGUAUUGAUGGGAAGAAGUUUCUCCUUGUGCUGGAUGACGUGUGGAAUGAAGACUAUCAGUUGUGGGAACAAGAAGAAUUGUCUCAAGUGUGGAGGUGGUGGGAGUAGAAUUUUAGUGACCACUCGCAGUGAGAGCGUUGCUAGGAUGAUGAGAAGCACAUACAUGCACUCCUUAGGAUGCUUACCAUUAAAGCAAUGUCGGGCAUUAUUUUCCCAAAUAGCUUUUUGCGGGAAGAGCGCCGACAAAAUUGAAGAACUAGAAGAAAUUGGCAAAAAAAUAGCAGACAAGUGCAGGGGAGAAUGCUUACUUCUUGCUGUUAAAGCUUUAGGGAGUCUGAUGCAGUCCAAAUAUAAUAAACAAGAUUGGGAGAACGUGUUGAAUAGUGAAAUGUGGGAAUUGGAUGUUUUUGAGAAAAAACUGUCCCCUGCCUUAUUGUUGAGUUAUUAUGAUCUGCCCCCGCCACUUAAACAGUGCUUCUCAUACUGUGUGGUCUUUCCCAAAGAUCGCACCAUUCAAAUAGACGACUUGAUUAAGUUGUGGAUGGCUCAAAGCUACCUCAACUCUAAGGCAGGCAGAGAGAUGGAGACAAUUGGGAGAGAGUACUUUGAAAACUUAGCAGCUCGGUCUUUCUUCCAAGAUUUUGAGAAAGAUGAAGAGGGUAACAUAGUAAGGUGCAAGAUGCAUGAUAUAGUGCAUGACUUUGCUCAAUUUUUGACCAACAAUGAAUGCUUAAUUGUGGAGGAUGAUUGUGAAAACCUAAAGACAAACUUGUCCCGUCAAAAGGGCCGUCAUGCAACUGUAAUUGUGCAUGGAAGUACCAGAUCCUCUUUCUCCGUAAAAAACGCGAGGAAUUUACACACACUUUUAGUUGUGUCUAACGGGUAUAGAAUUGACUCAUUUCCACUUGAUUCAUUCCAGCAAUUCAAAUAUCUCAGAGCAAUGGAUUUGAGCAAGGAUACCUCAAUUAAAGAUCUCCCAAGCCAGGUGGGUGAAUUCACACAUUUGAGGUACCUUAAUCUAUCAUAUUGUGAGAGAUUGGAAACAUUGCCCGAACCAAUCAGUGAGUUAUGCAAUCUGCAAACCUUAAAUGUUCGCUAUUGUCUGAGGCUUAGAAAACUACCUCAAGGGAUAAGAAGUCUAAUUAAUUUGAGACAUCUUCAAAUUAGGGCCGGUUUUUCUAUUCUAAGAGGCCUGCCUAAGGGAGUCGGAAGAUUAACAUCUCUUCGAACCUUAUCCUUUUUUAUUGCUGAUGAUGAGAAUGGAAGUGAUGUGUGCAAAAUGGAAGAAAUGAGAAACUUAAAAUCUCUAUGGUCUAUGGUCUGACAUUGAAGAAUAAGAAAUAGCAGGAUUUGAGCAAAGUGGAAGAUGCAGGGGAGGCUGAAAAGGCAGAAUUGAAGAAUAAGAAAAAGCUCUAUGGUCUGACAUUAAGUUUCGAACCAUGGACGAGUCAACCAGUAGGGAUGAAGGAAGUGGCUGAAGCCCUACAACCCCAUCCAAACUUAAAAUCUCUGCACAUAGCAUGGUAUCAAGUCAAGGAAUGGCCCAGGUGGAUGAUGGAGCCAUCAUUACUCCAACUAACACAACUUUUCCUUUCAGAUUGUGAUAGAUGUCAGUGCUUGCCUCCUCUGGGGGAUCUCCCACUUCUCGAGAGCUUGGAAAUAAAACGGAUGGAGCAGGUGAAAUAUGUUGGUGGUGAGUUCUUGGGAUCAUCAUCAAAAAUUGCAUUUCCAAGGCUGAAGCAUCUGUCUUUUGAAGGCAUGUUAGAGUGGGAAAAUUGGGAAGUAAAAGAAGAAAAAGGGAAGAAAGUAAUGCCAUGUCUUCUUUCCUUGAAAAUAGAUCACAGUCUAGAGCUUACGGCAGUACCGGACCUCCUGCUCUAGAGGACACCACCAAUUAAGCUUUCUCUUACCUAACCUUGUCUUUUCUCUCUUUUUCUUCUGUCAUCACCUUUUUCUUUUCUCUUGUUAUUUUUAUUUGAAAAAAAAGUGGGGUAAAGAGGAAAUAGGUGGAAGCUCUUAACAUUUGUCCAUUGGCUCUGCACAGGUUGCCCUCCAUGCAAGUAAUUAUUCUCUUUUCUUUUUAAUUUUGCUUUUCUAUAAUUAUUUAUCUCAUCUCUUUUUUUUUCCUUUUCCUUUUUCCUCUUUUAUAAAUUUAUUUAUAUAUUUUGGCAAUACCCUAAUUACUAAUAGUAAGUUUAACCAUAUAUUUUAGUUAAUUAUUUAUAAAUGUAAAUUCGUAUGUUUGUCGUCCCUUAUUUUUUAAAUUAUGAAGUAAUAAUAACUUUUAUAUAAAAUAUAUCAUUUUUAAUACCAAAUUAUGAACUUAUCCUCCAUAUAUUUUUGAAAACUACUUUCAAUAUAAAAAUGUUAAAAUUAAUUUUUAAAACUAUUUUUAAAAAUCAUAAAUCUUUGAAGGUAAGUACAUAAAAGUUUCUUUAUUUUAGAUAUUAGUUACUAUUAUUUUUAAAAAAUAAAAAUAAAAUAAAAAGUGCAUCCAAACCAUAUCAGUUUUCCAUUUUAAAUCAAUUUGUUUUUCAAAGUAAAAUUUUCUUUAAUUUCGAUUUUUUUUAUUUGAAAUAAAUUUAAUUUAAUUUCCCAAAGGCUUGAGAAAUAAGUAGUUGGAAAAUUCUAUUCCUUCCUUAAGUCUUAAGUCAGAAUAUUCUCUUUUGACUGUGAUAAUUGAUGAAAUGCAGGUAUGAGACUCCAUGGGGCAUAUUCCAUCUAAAACAACCUUUCAAAUGAAGAGAUGUAAUUGAGUUUUUGGUAUGAAAGUAAGUCUAUCAUUGUAUUGGAUUUCAUGAUAAAUGAAUGUAAAGUUGUGAUGAGAACACAUUCCAUUACAUAAAAGUUUAUACUUUUUUUUCUCCUCCCUCAUUUGUUGAUCCAAAAAUACUAUAUGUAAAUUAUUCUUUAGUCUUUCUUGUUUGAUAAUUUUUGUCAAAUAAAAAUAAUAAUAAAUUUGAAUAAAUAUAUGAGAAAACUUUAGUGGGUUUAAACAUUUUUUCAAUUUUUUUUACUGUGUCUUUUCUUUCCCUUUUCUUUAUGUCACAUUUAAUUGGAUCAUAUAUUUUGCUCAAACUUUCCAAAAUCUAAGUACAAUUCUAUAAUUUGGAUAAUAUGCCAAAUUACAAAUUUAACAAUUUUGUUUAUAUUUGUAAGACGGAUUUUAUGACAAGUGAAAAUGGUUUGAUAGCUUAUUCGAGAGAAAAAGUAAAAAUAGUUUUUUCAAAACAGUUUUUAAAACAAAAAUAAUAAAUAUAUUCAUUUUUAGUCAUUUUAAAUUUCUUUUAGACUAUAACUCAAGCUAGAACUAACUCAAAAUCCACAUAAAUAUCAAAGAAAAUGAAUACAUAAUAUUAUUAUUAAGAGGAUCUCUCCCUUUAUUGAAGAGAAAGAAAACACAUAAAUUAUGUUUGGUUCUCGAAAAAUAUGAGGAAAAAUGUGAAGAAAUAAAAAUAGAGAGGAAAUGUAAAAGGAGAGAAAAACAAAGAAAAAUAAAAAAUAUAUUUAAAAUCAAUAAAUUAUUUUAUAUGCUAUUUUAGACUCAUUUAACUUAUUUUUCAUUUUCUAUAUAAAGAUUAAAUAAUUAAAAAAUGUAAAAAAUUUAAAAUCUAAUUUUAAUUAUAUUUUAUUUUCUUUCAUAUUUCCAUAUUGAAAUCAAAUAUGAGAAAAUUAUUUUCCUUAAUAUUAUUUUUUUCUUUCUUAAUACUUUUUAGGAACCAAACAUAGUCAUAAUGUUUUGUUGAGAUGAUUUUUCUAUUAUUAAUUUAUAUAUAUAUAUAUAUAUAUAUAUACUACAAGUUAAUGGAAAGCAUUUUUUUUAAUAGUUUAUAAUUAUUUAAAACCUUAUUAAUUCCACUAUUUUUAAAAGAAAAUUCUAACUUUAAUUGAUUGAAAUUCUUGAUUUUUCAUAAUUUAGGAAAGAAUUGACAAUGAAUAUUGUAAAACAUGACUUUUCAUGACAGGCUCAAAAUUAAUAAAUGUUUUAGUAUUGUAAUUUUUUAUCAUAUGAUGCUAAAUAAUAGCCAUAACAAAACACUAUUCAUCCUUCUUUUAAUGUAUAUAGGCAUAGAUAUAAAAUGAAUUACUAAGCUAAACAACUCCUUUAGCUUUCAUUUGGAUCUUGAAAACAUUGAGGAAAUAUACCAAAAAGGAAAAAAGAAGAAAAAAAAAAUAGAGAAACAUAGGUGGGGAAAAAUUACAAGAAAAGAAAAGAGAUAGAAAUAAGAAAUCCAAAUGGAAAGUUUGAAGUUGAGUGGUUUUAAAACUGUUUUACUUGAACCACUCUAUUUUCUUACCUAUUGGUUUGGAAUUUUUGUUCUAAGCUAUCAAAGUCCAAACGAUGUGAAAUUUACAGCCUCGAUUCCUUAGAGAGUCUAAUAUUAUAUGAAAAAUACUUUGGAGUAUAAUUUUAUUCAAAACUAAUCCUAACAAUUUUGAGAAGUAUAAUUAGUCCAAGCCAUUUCUGUGAACCUCUCCCCUAUAAUUUCCAAAUAUGUCUGGAAUUUUCUCAUAGGGUAAAUAUGGUCUAAAUGUAACAAUACUUGAAUGGUCAGACAGCUUAUUAUAGACUCCAUCAUUUGGUAAAAUAAUAAGGGAUUUUAAUACUUUACCAAAAAUUCACAAAAAUUUAAAAACUUCCAACUAGUUGGAAUUAAAAAAAGAAAACAAACAAACAAACAAAAACAAAAACAAAGUAUUCCUCAUUAUUGGGAAAUCCCCUUUUUUCAUGAAGUUACCUCCAUAAACUCAACUUAAUCUAUUAUAUUAGAUUGUUUGAACUUGAUUUGGGUCCUUCAAAACUGGAACAAAUUGGGGUUCACCUAUUAUGGGUUAAAAGGUAUUACUACAUCCCUCUUGAGUAUCAAUAUCAUAGAAUAUCAUUCUCAUCCAAUACUUCUAACAAUUUAUAUGUGAAUCAAACUUAUAAUACAAUAUUUUUCUUCACUCUCUUGUCAACCAAACAGUCCAAAAAGUAAGAAAAAUAGUUUAAAUAUAUAUAAUUAACACAUAAAAAUCUAAUUUGUAACAACACUUGCCCAAAGAAGAGGUGGAGAAGAAGAGGAUAGAAGAAGAAAAAAUAUAAGAUGAAAUUAUUUAACUCUAAUGUCUCCUUUAAGUAGAGAUGAAAAUCUCUACUCCUUAAUGUUUGACUCCAACUUUUACACCAUUUUCUCUCAACAGAUUUUCAAAGAAGAAGAAGAAGAAGAAACCUCUAGGGAAAAUGAAGAGAAAUGAUUAUUUUUUUAAUUUUUUUUUUAUAUUUUCUUUUCAAAUAUGAACUAAUAAUUACCUUUAUCUACAUUAGGAUGUGAUCAAACCGCCCUUGGUUACCACCAAAAUUUCGAGCAUACCCCCUUGUCUUGUAGUGUUCAUGUGUGACAUGUGGCAACCUUUAAGUGUGACAUAUGGCGCUUCUAGUACAUUCUCAACAAUUCUUCAUCUCUAUGUGUAACAUUUGACAACCCCUAAGUGUAACAUGUGGCGUUUUUUUGUAUAUUCCCAAAUUAAUUACUUAUACUAAUAGUCUAGUUAAUACAACGCUUUGCUGGCUUUUUUGUAUAGUUUUGCGAUAAUUUAACUUUCCUAGUUCUCUUAAAUUAUUAGGGAUUUAAUUAUUUCAUAAAGAUUUUACUUACUCUAAAUUUAAGAUACAAACAUAUGAAAAAAAUGAAAAAUUCAUUUCAUUUGAACUUCAGUUGUUAUACCAUAUUUCUUGUGUCUUAACUAAUCAUAAGUUAUAUUGGUUGAUAUCAAUAGGUUACUUUUAACGAAAUAAAAAAAAUGAAAUAUUUUAACUUUUUAUAUUUAACCAAAAAAUAAAUACCACUCUAAAUUAAAAUUUGAUAAAUAGAUGUAUCAAAUUAGGUGUUUCUUCUAAAAGUUAUUCUUUUAGUACGUAACACGUUUCAAAAUCACUUUCCACUCUCACCCGUUAAAUUUAUUGGUAAUCAUAAAGCAAUGGUUGAUUGAAAUGUCAUGAUCAUAUUCAUUGAGGUGGAUUUCCUACCAAAACCAAAAAUCAAUUACUAAUUUAUGUUAAGGGUGUAUAUGAUGAAAUAGUAGAAUUUAUUUAAGGCCAUGAAGACUUUUUACUUUAUUGGAUCGCUGGAUAUAGUGGCAGAGGGAAGCGGUUAGCGGCAAAAGUGAUCAGCUACUAUUGCCAAUAUGCAGAGGUGGACCAUGCAAAGUUUUAAUCCGAACACAUUAUACGAAUAUGCAUCUGUUGCCGUAAGUGGAUGUGGAUUAUGUUUUACUUCUACCUAAAUAACAGUACAUUUCGCAUUGAUUUUAAAAAUCGUUUUUAACCUCAAAAGUAUUCUUAAAAAAAAAUUAAUAUUUAAUAAAGUUAAGAAAAUAUUUUAAAAAAUCUGACACUUAUAAUGUUUUUUAAAAAACCAAUAUAACUAAUCAUAAGUUAUAUAAUACAAUAUUUUUCUUCACUCUCUUGUAAACCAAACAGUCCAAGAAGUAAGAAAAAUAGUUUAUAUAGAUAUAUAUAAAAUUAACACAUAUAAAAAUCUAAUUUGUAACAACACUUGCCCAAAGAAGAAGAGGUGGAGAAGAAGAGGACUUCACAUUGAUUAUGUUUUACUUCUACCUAAAUAACAGUACAUUUCACAUUGAUUUUAAAAAUCGUUUUUAACCUCAAAAGUAUUCUUAAAAAAAAUUAAUAUUUUAUAAAAUUUAGAAAAUAUUUUUAAAAAUCUGAAAAAUCACUUAUAAUAUUUUUUUAAAAACCACUUGAGGUAUGUUUGGUAUUAAUUUUAAAAAGUGUUUCUAGUAUUUUUAAUACUUAAAAGAUAAAAAAAUUUAAGUGUUAGAAAAAUUGAAAACACUUCCUAGAAUUACGAUUAAAAGCACUCUCAAAAAUUUUCCUAAAAUCACUUCUAGAUAAUUCACUUACAUUACAAACAUUUUAAGUAAAAUGACUAUAAAAUGCAAUUUAAGUCAAGCUUCCUUAAUGCACAUGCUCACUAGUUAAAUUGACAAAUUUUGACUCUGUGACUCUUUGUUGAUCUUGUAAAUUGUUCUUUUUUGGUUUUCUACAAAAAAAAAAAAAAAAAAAAAAAACUAUUAAGAUUAUGUUUGCUUCCUAAAAAAUUUAAGGGAAAUUGUGAGCGAAAGAAAAUAGAAAAAAUAGGGAUAAAAAAAGUGAAGGUAAAUAAAAUUUCAAAAUCAACAAAUUAUUUUUAUAUAUUUCUUCAAACUCAUUUUACUUAAUUUCUUAUAUUAUAUAAAGAUUAAAUAAUUUUAAAAUAUAUAAAUUUUUAAUUAAUUUUAAUUAUAUUUGAUUUUCCUUCACAUUUUUUAUAAUAAAAUUUAAUAUGAGAAAACUAUUUUUCUUAAUAUUUUUUUUCUUUAAUACCGUCCAGAAACCAAACAUGUUUGUGUAGACCCCCCCGAGGAGAGAGUUUUCUUGGAUUAUUUAUCAUUUUUUUUAUUGCUUUUCUGACUGCUCUCAAGUGGGCUGCUCUCGGGCGGCUAGAUGGGACGGGAUAGACAUGGCUUGGGCAGGGAGGCUUUUCUGGAGGACAGGGAACAGAGCAAGGCGAGGAGAGGAUUUCUCAGAGAGAGAGACGACCCAGAGCAUCCAGCUGAGGAAGAUAGCUUCACGGUUUCAGCAGUUUCGUCGACAUUGGAGGUGGAUCUAAGGCGUUUGAAGCCGAACAAGGCUUUACGGGAGAAAGGUAUUCUCGGGUAUGAAUGCAACAGGUUUAUUGUUAGAUUCGGAUCUUAGCUAUCCCUCUGCAUUUUCUUGUUGAUAUUUUGGAUAUUUGUUGUUUUGCUUGGAGUGGAUUGUUGCUUGUUGAGUUAUAACCAUGAAUUCAUGCUUGCUAUCGUCAAUCUUUAUAUGCUCUGUUUCUAUUGUGAUUGUGAAAUGCCCGAGAACCCCUCCAAUACUUGCAUUUGAUGCCGUUUUCUCACCUAGAAGGUUCACUGACGAUUCAUGACGAGAAGCCUCCUUGAUGAGCCUUUCUAUUUGUUUUCUUCUAUGCUCUGUUUUCAUGCAUUUCUCAUUAUUGAGGCCACCUAUAUCACCUCCGCCAAGCCAUCUCUCAUCAUCGGGUUGCUGGAAGCUAUCAAAGCUGCCGCCGCGAUGCGCCGAGCGCACCUCCAUGCGCUGUCUGGAGGAUGCAGACGAUCCCCCGCCGAAGACUUCGACAUUAUCACCACCGUUCGAGACGACGCCGGGGCGAGUUCCAGCAUGCCUCGUGAGGAGGCUUCUGUCAAGCACAGCCAGCUCGCGUUUUGGUGCCGCUACGUCGGCGGCGAGCCCGCUCACCGUGCCAUGGAAGCAUCUGAAGGCCGCCUUACCGCCAGCCCCGUCCUCCAUCGUCCAUUGCUUGCAGCAAUCCCACCCUCGGACCGCCAGCAACUCCUUCUCUGACGCAGGCAUGGUGCGUCUUGACCCGCUCCGGCCAGGUGGAUAGCCGCGCCAGUCAUCGGCAACGGCGGCAACGUCUCUUGGUGCCGUCGGCGGUAGGAGUUCCCUCGGAGGGUGAUUUCCAGGCGAGAAGAGGAGUUGUGGGGAAGAUGAAGUUUGGUUUUUGGGCUUGGGCUAAGGCUAGGCCCAAUUUUGUGUUUGGUUUUGGCUUUGGGCUCAGGUUUGAGUUGGGGGCACUAGGCCCAGGUUUGUGAUGGGUGUUUGCAUUGGGUUUGCUUAUGAAGGCUAUGGGCUUAGGUUUGGAUUUGGAGCCCGGGCCCAAGCCUAUGCUAAAGAUGGAGCCUUUGUCUUAAGCCCAUUUUCUAUUAUUACUAUUAUUAUUAUUAUUAUUAUUAUUGUUAAUUAUUAUUAUCAUUGAUAUUAUUAUUAAUUAUCAUUGUUAUUAUUAUUGUUACUAUUAUUAUUAAUUAUUAUUAUCAUUAUAUUUAUUAUCAUUGUUAUUAUUAUUAUUAUUAAUUAUUAUUAUCAUUGUUAUUGUCAUUAUUAUCAUUGUUGUUAUUAUUGUUAUUACUGUUAUUAAUUAUUAUUAUCAUUGUUACUAGUAUUACUAUUAUUAUUAUCAUUAUUCUUGUCAUUAUUAUUAUUAUUAUCAUUAUUAUUACCAUUAAUUCAACUUUCAAAAUCUAUUUAUUAUUAUUAUUAUAACCAUUAAUCCAAACUUUCAAAAUCCUAUUAUUAUUAUUACUAACCCAACUUUCAAAACCUCAUUAUUAUCAUUAUUAUUAAUUCACACUUUCAGCAUCUAUUUAUUAUUAUUAUUAUCAUCAUUAACCCAAACUUUCAAAAUCUCAUCAUUAUUAUUACUAUUAAUUCAACUUUCAAAAUCUAUUUAUUAUUAUUAUUAUAAUCAUUAAUCCAAACUUUCAAAAUCCUAUUAUUAUUAUUACUAACCCAACUUUCAAAAAUCUCAUUACUAUUAUUAUUACUAACCCAACUUUCAAAACCUCAUUAUUAUCAUUAUUAUUAAUUCACACUUUCAGCAUCUAUUUAUUAUUAUUAUUAUCAUCAUUAACCCAAUUUUUAAAAUCUCAUCAUUAUUAUUACUAUUAAUUCAACUUUCAAAAUCUAUUUAUUAUUAUUAUUAUAAUCAUUAAUCCAAACUUUCAAAAUCCUAUUAUUAUUAUUACUAACCCAACUUUCAAAAAUCUCAUUACUAUUAUUAUUACUAACCCAACUUUCAAAACCUCAUUAUUAUCAUUAUUAUUAAUUCACACUUUCAACAUCUAUUUAUUAUUAUUAUUAUAAUCAUUAAUCCAAACUUUCAAAAUCCUAUUAUUAUUAUUAUUAACCCAACUUUCAAAAUCUCAUUAUUAUUAUUAUUAUUAAUCCAAACUCUCAAAAUCUAUUUAUUAUUAUUAUUAUCAUCAUUAAUCUUAUUAUUAUUAUUAUCAUCAUUAAUCCAGACUUUCAAAAAUCUCAUUAUUAUUAUUAUUAUUACCUCAACUUUUAAAAUCUUAUUAUUAUUAUUACUAUUAUUAUUAUCAUUGAUAAUUCGAUUCUUAAAAUCUUAUUAUUAUUAUUAUUAAUUCACACUUUCAAAAUAUUAUUAUUAUUAUUAUCAUUAAUUCAACUUUUAAAAUCUUAUUAUUAUUAUUACCAUUAUUAUUAUUAUUGUUAAUUCGAUUCUUAAAACCUUAUUAUUAUUAUUAUUAAUUCACACUUUCAAAAUAUUAUUAUUAUUAUUAUUAUUAUCAUUAAUUCAGACUUUCGAAAUCUUAUUAUUACUAUUAUUAUUAAUUCAAACUCUCAAGACCUUAUUACUAUCAUUAUUAUAAAUUCAACUUUCACAAGUCUAUGGUCUCGCAGUUCAAUUUCCUAAAUUCCAUUUCUCAUUUUCUUUAACAAAUUCCAAUUUAAUCACGGGAGCUCUAAUAUUCAAAAUUUAAUUCCAAAUACUCCAAUUUUCAAAUAAGCUCCAAUAAUCCAGUUUUCACUCGAAUAGUUUUUAAUCACAUUUUAGUUCCUAAAUAAUCUUCUGAUCUUCUUGACCUUACAUAAGCAAUAGUGAUUCCUUCAUAAUUCCAAAACACGGGAUUUGUGGGAUUAGCUCAUGAACAAUAAAUCGGGCUUUGUUGAGGGCCCUAUGUUUGACCCCUUUUGACUGUCAAUUAUCGUGCUUGCUGUAUUUUGCUUGAGCUUCGCUUUGCACUCCGAUAUGUAUGAGCUAUGUUUUGUAUUCAUUAGUUGUGCACUUAUCCCGUUUCUUGAUAGCGCGUUGCUGUUUGCUGCCCAGGUACGCAUUCACUCAUUCUGAUCAUUCACUAUACAUAUUCUGAUUCUCAUAUAUGCAUGAUUGAUGCGAGUAUCCAUUGACUUUCUUAUUCGAUUGCCACAUCAAUUUCACUUUAUUAGUAGAGACCCGACUUUAAGGACUUAGAGGGGUGCUACGGUCUCUACCGUACCUUCCCGAUAAGUAACCUGACCCCCGAACCCGAUCCGGUUUUCACAGACCACCUCUUCCAAAACAAGGAGUCACACUUAGGGUUUUUCUUUCUUAUUUUGUUUACCCUUUAAAAAUAAAACAAAAAUAAGUGGCGACUCUAAGUCAUUUUUAAUCAACAAAUCAAUUUUUCAAAUAAAAAUCGAGCUCGAUAUCGAGUGGGAAACGCAUUGAGCCGAAAUGCGGGGUCCACAGUUUGGUUCUGAAAAAUGUGGAGGAAAGAAAAUAAGAAGAAAAAGUAGAAGGGAAAAAAAAAGAAAAGAAAAAUAAAAAAUAAAUUUAAGCCCAAAAAAUUAUUUUUAUAUAUUAAUUUAAAUUCAUUCCACUUAUUUUAACUAUUGGAUAUAAAGAAUAAAUAAUUUGAAAUACAUAAAAUUUGAAUUAAUCUUAAUUAUAUAUAUAUAUAUAUAUAUAUAUAUAUUUCUAUAUUUUUCUUAAGACAAUUAAAAAAGAAAAUCAUUUUUUAAAAUUCUUUUUUUUUUUUUUCUUCCUUUUAAGGUUUUACCAGUGUAGAAUUCAUCUUGAGCUUGGAUAUUGUCGGUGUCUGGACAUGCCUUAACUUAAACAAUAACGCUCGUAGUUUUGGGUGGGGUUGUUAAGAUACAACAUCCAAUACCCUAUUGGUAUGAUAUAAACAGGCAAAACAAGAGAGCUAGAAUGAGUAAAGAUUGUAAAAAGAUAUUUGUGUGAAUUCUGUCUUGACAAGGGAGUGAGUACAUAUACAUUUCUUUCGUUAAGCUUAAACCUUUAAUAUUUGCGAUUUUAAAUACAAUAUAUUUAUAUAUAUUUUAUCAUUAAUAAAUCUAAUAAUUUUUAAAAUUUAUCUAAAGCUAAAAAAAUCCAACCAAUAUUAGUUUCAUUUUAAAAUUCAUCUAGAAUGAUUAUAUUAAUUUGUCUAGUAUGCCCAACAAUAUUUUUCCAAUAUUUUUCACUAGUUAAAGAAACCCUAAAUAGGAGAGAUUUAUGUGUUCAAUUUAUUAAUCAUUUUUUUUAACAAAAGAAUAAUAAUUUAGAUAUCAAAAUUUAAGUUGGUUAAUACCAAAAUUUUUAUGAAUAAAACUAGAGUGGGACGAUUAUGAAAGUUUCUUCAACACAUAGUGAUAUACUUUUUCUGGUUAAUUUUAAGGGAGAAUUGUGUUUUGGGCCCAACUGGGUCCAAAAAUUAAUAUUUGGUCCAUAUAACUUCCAUAAUUGAUGAAAAGGAUAUGAGAUGUUAAAAGACCAAUAUAUCCUUCAAAUUUCUAUACAUUACCUUUUAAGGACAUAAAAUAGUGAUGGACUAAAAUACCCAAUGACCUUUCACAUAAACUUUUUUUUUUGUCUUUAUUGCACCAUUAUUCAUGCAACCAUAAUAAUUUUAUUUUAACAAUUUGGAUUUUUCAUUAUUUUAAUUUUUUUUAUAAAUAAUUGAAAAUCAACAUUAUUUUCUAUUUUAAAUUAUAAAUAAAGAAAAAUUAUGUUCGAAAGCUAUUUAAAAAAAUACUUUCUAAAAAAUAGUAAUAUGAUUUAUAUUUUUUAUAUUUUCUUUUUGAAAAAACAUUUAAUUAAAAAAUGAAAACUAUUUUAAAAAAUAAAAAUUGAAAAUCUUGUUUAGUACUAUUUUUUAUAUGAAAAUAAUAAAAAGAACUAAAUUUCAUUCAUUGAUUAUCCAUUUUUAUUUUUUUUCAUUAGUUAUUUUAAUAAUAAUAAAAAAAUAUAGUAUGUUUACGAUUAAACAAAGAAAUUGAUCAAUUAUGUGUUUUUUGUGGGACUAUCUUUUACAUGAAAAAUAAUUAAAUAACUAAAUUAUAUAUAUUUAUUACUCUUUUUAAUUUUAUUUUCUUUAUUUAUUUUUUAUCGAAAAUUUUAAUAUAUCCAUAAUUAACAAAGUAACAAAUCAAUUGUGCACAUUUUAAUCUAUUAAAAUAAAUUAAUUUCUAAUUUAAUAAAUAAAAUGAAAUAAGUAAAUAAAUUUGGGGUUAUUUCUAUUUUUUAAUAUAUCUUAUAUCAAUAUUUUUUAUGAUUAAAUAAAUUUUUUAUUUUUUAUUUCUUUAAUUCCAAAAAUAAAAUGAAAUAAAUAAAUAAAUUUAGAAUUUUCCAACUGAUCCUAUAUUCAUAUUUCUUAUGGUUAAAUAAAUUUUUUAUUCUUUUUUCUUUAUUUCCAAAAAUAAAAGGAAAUAAAUAAAUAAAUUUGGCUUAAAUAAUAGUUUUUAAGUAAUUUCUUUGUCUUAUUUUUAAUUACAUUUUGCAUUGAAAAUAAAAUAAAAUAACGUUUUUUUUUAGUCACUGUACAAGGUAUUUACACUAAGUGUACAUAACAAAUAUACUAACUGUACAAGGGUGUACAAAACUAUUAUUUGUGAAGGAUUUUAAGUGAUUCUAAAAAACUUGUUUGUUUAUUUCCCUUAACCGAUGAUAAAUGACAUUCCUUACACACAUUGGUUAAACAUACAUUCAUCUCAUAUAUUUUAUCUAACUUGUAUAUGGUCAUUUUAAUAGGUACCUCACUUAUGAUGAUUGUAAAACAAAAUUAUACAACAAUUUUUUUUCCUUUUUAAAACCAAACCGAUGCAAACAUGGUUAACCGACCUAUUGUUAGAUAUUCAUAAAAUGAUGUAUGAAAUUUGAGUUAUUGUACAAGGGUAUUACACUAACUGUACAAGGGUAUUACACUAACUAUACAAGACAAAUUUACUAAUUGUACAAGGGUGUACAAGACAAAUUUACUAAUUGUACAAGAGUGUACAAGACUACUUUUUGUUAAGGAUUUAAAGUGAUUUCGAAAAACUUUCCCAUUUUUUUCCACUCAAAUAUUUUUUCCCCACUCAAAUUCUCUCACUUAAGAAUUGUUUCGAAUUUUAUUUUUAAAUUUCAUCAUCAAAUUUUUGUAAUUGCAUAUUUUGUUUUUGUAGUUUUAGCAAUGUUCUUUCUUUCCACUAUUUUUUUUUAGUGAAAUUUUAUCCAAAUGAAUCUAUAUUUAAAAUUAUAAUCAUAUUUAUCAAAUUUUUUACUAAGAUUAUCUUUAAUUUUUUUAAUAUAUUUAUACUCAUUUAUUUAAAAAAUGAAAAACUAAUUUUUUUUUAAACAUGUUCUAUUACCUUUCAAGUAAAAAAUUAGAUAAGUUUCAAAGUCAAUAAAUAAAAAAAUUAAAUACUACUUUCAAUAAUUUUUAGAUAAAAUUUUAUAUAAUAUAUUUUAUUUGAAACUUAAUUUUUAAAGUUUAACUAAAAAAUUAUAUUGACAAUUUUCUUGUUGUGGGUCAAAAUACUUUGCAUUAGUCUAUCUAGAUAAGAAAAAUUAUUAAUAUAAUAUUAGAACUUCAUAUCUUAGUUAUUUUUUUUCAAUAAAUUUAUCUUUUUAAAAAUUUUAAAAUAAAAACAUUAAAAAUUAAAAAGCUAAAAAGAUAUAUAUAUAUAUAUAUAAUAAAGUGAAGUGAUAGUUAAUUUUAAAAUUUUUUAAAAUAUGGUUAAUGUAGAAAGUAUAAAAAAUAAGAGAAAAAUAUAGAUGAAAAGGUAAUAUAAAUUUAAAAUAAAAAAUGAAAAUUAAACUAAAAGAUAAAUACAAAAAGAUAAAAAAUAUUUGGAUGAAAAAUCCCAAAAUUUUUAUCAUUGCUUUUAAUAAGAGCAAAAAGAUUCAAUAUCUUUAAAAAUGAAAAAUAAAAAAAUAUUAUUGUUUUUUAUUUGACAUAAAAUAGAAAUAUAUAUUGGAAUAAAAAGGAAAAAAAAAAAGUUAGAAAUGAGUAAUAUUUAAUAGGGAAUAGAAAAGGAAAAAAAAUACAAAAAAAAUUAAAAUUCACACUCACUUGUAGGCAUACAAAGGAUAAGGGUAUUUUAGGAAUUAAUGAAAGACAAUAUCCUUCAUCUUAAUUUUCAUACUUUGUUUGGGUCUUGGGCUUAAAUAUGGGUGGUUGGAGGACCAAAUGUUAAUUUUUGGGCCCAGUUGGGCCCAAAACACAAUUCUCCCUAAUUUUAAUUUAGGUUAAUACACUCCAAAUCAAACAAAAAAUGAUGUAUUCAAUUUACUAAAGAGUUUAUUAAUUUGUAGAAAUUGAUAAAUUUUGGUUUAUAUAUAUAUAUAGUAGAUGUGAUAAAGAAAAAAUGGUUAUGUACAUAUAUAAUUAGAAAAAAUAAAUAAAUUGCCCUUGUUUUUAUGUUUGAAUAUCAUCACUCUAUGUUUCAUUUCAUGAUGAGGAACUCACCAUAGAAUGGAACCUAAGGCCAACAUCUCUAGCAACUUUUUUUUUCACUACAUUUUAUAUAGGUAAUAUUAUUUAUAUAUAUUUCACUUCCAUUGAACAAUUAUUUUCCUUAGUCAAGUUUGGUUCGAGAAAAUAUAGAGGAAAAGUAGAAGAAAAAAAAAAGUGAAGUGAAAUAAAAAAAGUAGGUUUAAAUUUAAUAAAUUAUUUUUAUAUAUUUUUCAAAUUCAUUUUAUUUAUUUCUUUCUAUUAUGUAAAGAUUAAAUAAUUUUAAAAAAUAUAAAAUUUUAACAAAUUUUAAUUAUAUUUGAUUUUCUACAAUAAAAUCAAAUAUGAGAAAACCAUUUUCCUUAACAAUUUUUUUUCCUCAAUAAUUUUCAGAAACCAAACAUAACCUUAAAAUACUCUUUAAAUUAAUACAAAGAGUUAAGUUAUUCUUUUUGAGUCAUUUCACUAGUAAUGUCUUAAUUAACUCUAUGUUAAUGUCCUUAUCAUAAAAUAAGAGAACAGAAGAAUAUUAUAUUAUAUUUUUUAUUUUUGCUAUGAAAAAUAUAAAAAUAAAUAAAUAAAUAUAAUGAAAAGCACAAGUCCUCCUCCUGAAGCUUGUAAAAAUAUAUUCAUGGCCAAUCAUUUUAGCUUAUGGUAGAAGAAAAGGCAAAGUUUGGAAAGAACAACACGAAUCCACUUAGUUUCUACUUUUGCUUUAUACAUCAGAUAAACUAAAAGAAAGUAUUUGGAAAAAGAAAAAGCAAAAGGAAAGGAAAAUGAUGAAAUGCAUCAAGGUGGGAAUCACUUUUUAUUAAAAUUCUAUUGUUAUAUUUACUCUUAUAUUAGAAAUAUAAAAAUAAAAUAAAAUAUUUUUAAAAUUAGUUAUUGUUGUAAAACAAUGACAAAUAUAAUGCAAAUCAAAGUAGUAGAAAUAAAAUAUAUCUUACUUUGAUAAUAAUAUAUAAUAGAGAAGAAGGAAUCAAAGAAAAGAAUUGAGAAAGUGAGUGAGUGAGAGAGAGAGAGAGAGAGAGAGAGAGAGAGAGAGAGAGAGAGAGAGAGAGAAUGAGAGGAAGAACUUUUCUUUCUUUUUCUCGGGAUGCUCUUACAUGGGGUGUAAGAAGCCUUUUAUAGGCUUCAUAAUAUGAACUCCCAUUACUUAUCUUAAAGAUGAGUAAAUGGAGUUCAUAAUGACCAUCAAUGUGGUCAUUCACUACUCUUCAUUUACAACACUCCCCCUUGGAUGACCACCAUAUUAAAAGAAUAUGUCUCAUUAAAACCUUGCUAGUAAAAAACCCUAUAAGAAAAACCUAGUGUAGGAAAAAGAGUACAAUAUUCUUUUCUUGGUAUAUUAGGACCGCCUUGCUAAAAACCUUGCCAGUAAAACCCAGUAGGACAAAACCUGAACGAAGGAAAAAAGAGUAUAGUACACUAACACCCUUUUACAAGCUUACUCACCCUCAUGUCGAUAUCCUUGAGUUGACGCAUUCCAAUCCUGUGUAUUGACUUCUUGAAUGUUGAGAUUGACAAUGAUUUUGUGAAUAAAUCUACUAGAUUAUCACUUAAGCGUAUUUGUUGCACAUCAAUUUCACCACUCUUUUGGAGUUCAUGUGUAUAAAAGAAUUUUAGUGAAAUGUGUUUAGUUCUAUCUUCUUUAAUAUAACCCCCUGUUAUUUGUGCAAUGCAUACAACAUUAUCUUCAAAUAAUAUUGUUGGGUCACCUUUGAUAGAGGAGAGUCCACAUGAUUCCCGAAUAUGCUGGAUCAUAGACCUUAGCCAUAAACCUUCACGAUUUGCUUCAUGAAUUGCCAGUAUUUCUGAAUGAUUUGAUGAUGUGGCCACUAUUGUUUGUUUGACAGAUCUCCAUAAAAUAGCAGUACCAUUACAAUUAAACACAUACCCUGUUUGUGACCUAUCUUUAUGUGGAUCUGAAAGAUAUCCUACAUCUGCAUAUCCAAGCAAUUGUUGCUUUGAUUCCCUUGAGUAAAACAAACCCAUAUCACUAGUCCCUCAAAGAUAACGCAAUAUAUGUUUGAUACCAUUCCAAUGCCUUCGAGUUGGAGCGGAACUGUAUCUUGCUAAUAAAUUGACAGAAAAAGCAAUGUCAGGGCGUAUACAAUUGGCAAGAUACAUAAGUGCACCAAUAGCACCAAGAUAUGGUACUUCAGGACCAAGUAACUCUUCAUCUUUUUCGUAAGGACAAAAUGGGUCCUUUUUCACAUCAAGUGAUUGGACAACCAUUGGAGAAUUUAAAGGAUGCGCUUUAUCCAUAUAAAAAUGCUUCAAAACUUUCUUAAUGUAUGUUGAUUGAUGUACUAAAACUCCAUUUGGAAAAUGCUCGAUCUGCAGGCUGAGACAAAAUUUUUUUUUUCCAAGAUUUUUCAUCUCAAAUUCCUUUUUCAAGUAAUUUGUUGUUCUUGUGAGCUCUUCAAGAGUUCCAACAAGAUUUAAGUCAUCAACAUACACUACAAUAAUUGCAAAUCCGGUUUCUGAUUUCUUAAUGAAGAUGUAUGGGCAUAUAGGGUUAUUCACAUACCCUUCUUUUAGUAAGUAUUCGCUCAGGCGAUUAUACCACAUACGUCCAAAUUGCUUUAAUCCAUACAAGGAUCAUUGUAACUUGAUUGAGUACAUGCUACGAGGCUUUGUACUAUUUGCUCCAGGCAAUUUAAAUCCUUCAGGGAUUUUCAUGUAUAUAUCAUUAUCCAUGGAUCCGUUUAAAUAUGCUGAAUAACAUCCGUGAGACGCAUAUCCAGUCCUUUUGAGAUUGCCAAACUAAUUAAGAAACAAAAUGUGAUUGUGUCAUUGUGUCCAUGACAGGAGAAUAUGUUUCCUCGUAAUCAAUACCAGGUCUCUGUGAGAAACCUUGUGCUACUAAUCACGCUUUAUAUCUUAUGAUCUCAUUUUUCUCAUUGCGCUUUCGUACAAAUACCCAUUUGUACCCAACAGGCUUUACAUCUUCAAGUGUUUGGACUACAGGUCCAAAAACUUCUCGUUUUGUUAAUGAGUUUAACUCUGUCUGUAUAGCUUCUUUCCAUUUUGGCCAAUCAUUUCUAUGUUGACAUUCUUCCACAUUUCAUGGUUCGGGAUCUUCAUCAUUUCUUAUAAUAUCAGAGGCCACUUGGAAAGCAAAAAUAUUGUUAAUAACAAUAUUAUUUCGAUCCCAUUUUUCUCCCAUGUGUACAUAACUUAUUGAGAUCUCACAAUUUCCAGGUAUCUAUGCCUCUUCAGGGGCUUCUCGUUCAAUAUGUAGCUCUUCAUGGGCUUCUUAUUCAAUAUGUGCCUCGUCGGGGGCUUCUUGUUCAAUAUGUACCUCUUCAGGGGCUUUUUGCAUUAUUUGUGCCUCUUCUAGGGCUAUAGAUUUAUCAAUUUUAAACUGAUCAGUCAUUUUGAUGGCCUCUUCUAGAGUGCUGAGUUUUUCUUGGGUUCUCCUCUUCCGAUGAGUUACAUCCUUUGAGCCAACAAGUCUACCACGCUUCAGGCGUAUCUUAGAUUCAUUUGUUAACUGUCCUACAGGGACAUCAAUCCGUGUUGGAGUAUUUGUAGCCGAGAUAUGUGACUUUGUCACAUUCUUUGUAUCAAUGAAUGCAUCUGGUAAUUGAUUUGCAAGAUUUUACAAAUGAAUGAUCCUUUGAACUUCUAGUUCACAUUGAUUUGUAUGAGGAUCAAGAUGGGUCAUAGUAGAUGCCUUCCAACUAAUUUCUCGUCGUUCUUCAGGAAUCGACUUUUCUCCUCCUAAUGAUGGGAAAACACUCUCAUUAAAAUGACAAUCCGCAAAGCGGGCUGUAAAAACAUUGCCUGUCAAAGGUUCAAGAUAUCUUAUGAUAGAUGGAGAAUCAAAACCUACAUAAAUCCCAUGUCUUCGUUGGUGACCCAUUUUAGUGCGUUGUGUAGGUGCAAUUGGUACAUAUACUGCACAACCAAAGAUUCGUAAGUGAGAUAUUUGGUUGUUUUCCAAGCAUAAGUUGUGAAGGGGAGUAUUCAUGGUAAGUUGUAGGUCGAAUACGGACUAAAGUUGUAGCAUGCAUAAUAGCAUGUCCCCAGGUGGAAGUAGGUAAUUUGGUUUUCAUUAGUAAUGGUCGAGCUAUUAAUUGGAGAUGUUUGAUGAAGGAUUUUGUUAAACCAUUUUGGGUAUGAGUAUGAGCAACAAGAUGUUCAAUAUUUAUCCCUACUGACAUGCAAUAGUCAAUGAAUAUUUGAGAAGUAAAUUCGUCAGCAUUAUCAAAACGUAUUGUCUUAAUUGGAUAAUUUGGAAAUUGUGCUCGUAAUCUGAUUAUUUGUGUAAGGAGUCUAGCAAAGGCAACGUUAUGUGUAAAAAGGAGACAAACAUGUGACCACCUAGUAGAAGCAUCUAUUAAGAUCAUAAAAUAACGGAAUGGUCCACAUGGUGGAUGGAUAGGCCCACAUAUGACCCCAUGUAUUCUUUCUAAAAAGACUGGUGACUCAGAUAUGACUUUAGUAAAAGAUGGUCUGAUUAUCAAUUUACCUUAUGAGCAAGCAGCACAUGAGUAUUCAUUGGGUGAAAGAAUCUUCUGGUUCUUUAGUGGAUGCCCAUGUGAGUGUUCGAUUAUUCGACGCAUCAUUGAAGACCCUGGGUGACCUAGCCUAUCAUGCCAAAGGAUAAAAACUUUUGGGUUGUUGAACUUCUGGUUCACGACAACAUAUGAUUCAAUAGGCUUUAUAGUUGUAUGAUACAACCCAGAGGAGAAAGCCGGGAGUUUUUCCAUUAUAAGCUUCUGGCUAAAUAUAAUGGAAGUAAUGUAAAGAUAUUCUACAUUAUCUUCGUUCAUAGUUUCAAUAUGAUAUCCAUUUCUACAGAUAUCUUUAAAACUGAGCAAAUUUCUUCUGGAUUUUCUAGAAUAUAAAGCGUCAUUUAUAUGGAAUUUAGUUCCAUUUGGCAACAUUAUGUUUAUUCUUCCAGAGCCUUCAACUAAGUUUGUAGUACCAGAUAUGGUACUUACAUUAGCUUUUAUUAUUGUUAAUAAAAGGAAAUAUUUUUUACCUCGAAGAAUUGUGUGCGUGGUCGCACAGUCUACGAGACAUACAUCAUCCUCAUUCAUCUUGAGACCAAAUAACACAUGUAUUUCAGAUAUAACAAAAAAAUAAGGCAUAAUGUAAAUAACAAAGUAAAUCAGAUGUAAAUAUAAGACAUAAUAAUAUAUUAUUUCAUAUAUAAAGUAAAAUCAAUCAAUGUUAAUUUUCUCAUCAUUUAUCAAAUGGUCUGUUUUUUCAUUAGGACCUCUAAAGAAAUCAAUGUCAUAGUAGGUUAGGUCCAAUCCAUCACCAUCGGUAAAGUUCAUCUCUAUCUCUUUUCCUUUAGCUUUUAUUGAUGCUUGGUAAAGGUCAACCAAAUGUUUGGGUGUACGACAGGUACGCGACCAAUGCCCCUUCAUACCACAUCUAUAACAAUUAUUCUCAUGGUUCUUAGGAGGUUUAUCUUGUAAACGCUUCCCAUUUUCUUGUAUUGUCUCAGUAUUGUUCCACUUCUGGUGGUACAAUGAGGCUUUCAUUUUUUGAGAAUUAUUACUAUAAGAACCAUGGUAUCGGGGAUUUCUUCCAUGACCACGACCACGUCCUCAUCCUCUUCCACGUCCACGAGUUUGGGACGAUAUUGCAUUUACUUCAGGGAAUGGUUUAGAUCCAGUUGGACGAGAUUGGUGAUUUCUCAUAAAAAACUCAUUAUUUUGUUCAGCAACAAGAAGACAUGAUAUUAAUUCAAAUAUUUUGUAAAUCUACGCUUUCGAUAUUGCUGUUGUAGGAGCACAUUCGAGGCAUGAAACAUAGUAAAAGUUUUCUUUAACAUGUCUUCCUCUAUGAUUUUUUCUCCACACAGCUUUAAUUGAGAGCUGAUUUUGAAAAGUGUAGAGUUGUAUUCACUAACAGUUUUAAAAUCUUGCAACCUUAGGUGCAUCCAAUCAUAUCGAGCUUUUGGGAGAAUCAUAGUUUUCUGGUGGUCAUAUCUUUCCUUCAAAUUACUCCAUAGAGUAAAAGGGUCCUUCACCGUAAGAUACUCAUUUUUUAAACCUUCAUGGAGGUGAUGGCAAAGGAAAAUCAAUGCUUUUGCGCGAUCCUACAGGGAUGCUUGAUUUCCUUGUUUGAUCGUAGCUCCAAGGUUCAUUGCAUCAAGAUGUAAUUCAGCAUCAAGGAUCCAAGAUAGAUAGUUCUUUCCCGAAAUGUCAAGUGCCACAAAUUCGAGUUUUGUGAUAUUCGACAUUGUCAAAUAACUUCAUAUAUAUAUGACAAAACAAUAUUAUUAGAAUCAGUUAUAAUAACUUGAUAGCAUUGGUAUAACUUUGAUUAUAAACAAAAUCAAAUAAUUUGUUUAUAACUUUUAACAAUAUGUAACAAAACAAAUCAACAAUAAUAUAAAUAUGUAAAAUUUUAUUCUAUACAAAUAACUUCAAGUUUAAGAUACGAUAAUUACCUUUAGAGCAAUUCGUGCUGAUAACGUGUUGUAAAACAAGGACAAAUAUAAUGCAAAUCAAAGUAGUAGAGAUAAAAUAUAGCUUACUUUGAUAAUAAUAUAUAAUAAAGAAGAAGGAAUCAAAGAAAAGAAUUGAGAAAGUGAAAAAGAGAGAGAGAGAGAGAGAGAGAGAGAGAAUGAGAAGAACUUUUCUUUCUUUUUCCCGGGAUGCUCUUACAUGGGGUGUAAGAAGCUGCUUCAUAAUAUGAACUCCCAUUACUCAUCUUAAAGAUGAGUAAAUGAAGUUCAUAAUGACCAUCAAUGUGGUCAUUCACUACUCUUCAUUUACAACGGUUAUAAAUUUAUAUAUUUUUAAAUUAUUUAAUUUUUAUAUAAAAUAUUUUCAAUUAAUAAAAUUUAAAUAACAUAUAAAAUAAUUUCUUAAUUUUAAAUUUAUUUUUAAUUUUAAUUUUCUUUUCUUUUCUUUUCUUUUUUGCAUUUUUCACACUUUUCCACAUAUUUUCCCGACCCAACAUAGCCUGUUAAAUCAACAACUUUCACCUUUGCUUUAAAUAAUAAAUUAAUUAAAAGUUUUUGCUUUUGUGCUAUUCUGUGCUGGCAUGUCUUACUGUUAGAAUGAAAUUUUUUUUUUUUUUUUUUCGGCCAAAAGCCUGCAACGCCUCAAUACCUUCAUGCCUCUACCUCCAUGCCUCUACCUCCACCAUCCUAAAGUUCCACAUCCCAUCUUUCCAUCUCACUAGUCUUUAUCCAUAUUCUUCACUCCUCCUCCUCCAUCAAUCCCACCUUCUUCAACUCCUAAUGGCGGAUGCUCUCCUUUCUAUUGUCUUAGACCGUUUGGGUUCUCUUAUCCAACAACAAAUUCAUCAGGAAGUUUCUCUGGUUGUGGGUGUUGAAAGAGAAAUCCAAAGCCUCACCAACACACUCCAGAUCGUCCGAGCUGUUGUUGCAGAUGCAGAGAAGAGACAAGUGAGGGAGGAACUUGUCAAAGUUUGGUUGCAGAGGCUUAAAGACAUCGCCUACCAAAUGGACGACGUGCUGGAUGAGUGGAGCACUUCUCUUCUCAAAUCUCAGAUUGAGAGACCUGAAAGCCCUUCCAUGUCUAACAAGAAGGUAACCUCCUGCAUUCCCUCCCCUUGCAUCUGUUUCAAACGAGUUGCUGGCCGUCGUGACAUUGCUCUUAAGAUUAAGGAUAUUAAACAGCAAGUUGAUGACAUUGCAAACCAGAGCAAUCGGUUCAAUUUUACAUCCAUAUUUAGCAACGAGGAACCACAGAGGCUUAUAACUAUCUCUGCAGUUGACAUUUCAGAGGUAUGGGGUCGGGAUAAGGACAGGGACACCAUACUAAGGCAGCUGUUGGGUAAGAGUUGUGAACAAAACUUGGGCCUCUACACCAUCUCCGUGGUUGGGAUGGGAGGUAUCGACAAAACAACUCUUGCUCAACUAGCCUUUAACCACGAUGAGGUGAAGGCUCAUUUUGAUAAGAGAAUCUGGGUCUGCGUGUCUGAUCUUUUUGUCCCAAUAAGAAUCUAGAGGGCUAUUCUUGAAGCCCUCCAAGGCCAGUCUUCUGAUCUCCAUGAUCCUGAAGCUCUACGACAAAAAAUUCAAGAAUCUAUUGAGGGAAAAAGUUUCUCCAUGUGCUGGAUGAUGUCUGGACCGAAGAUUAUCAGUUGUGGGAACAACUGAAGAAUUGUCUCAAGUGUGGAGGUGGUGGGAGUAGAAUUUUAGUGACCACUCGCAGUGAGAGCGUUGCCAUGAGAAGCACAUACAUGCACUCCUUAGGAAGCUUACUAUUAGAGCAAGGUUGGGCGUUAUUUUCCCAAAUAGCAUUUUGCGGGAAGAGUACCCACAAAAUUGAAGAACUAGAAGAAAUUGGCAAAAAAAUAGCAGUCAAGUGCAAGGGCUUACCUCUUGCCCUUAAAGAUUUAGGGAGUCUGAUGCAUUUCAAAAAUAAUAAAGAAGAUUGGGAGAAUGUCUUGAAUAGUGAAAUGUGGGAACGGGAUGUUUUUGAGAAAAAACUGUCCCCUGCCUUGCUGUUGAGUUACUAUGAUCUGCCCCCGGCACUUAAACAGUGCUUCUCAUAUUGUGCAGUCUUUCCCAAAGAUCACUUCAUUGAAAGAGACGACUUGAUUAAGUUAUGGAUGGCACAAAGCUACCUCAACUCUAAGGCAGGCAGAGAGAUGGAGACAAUUGGGAGAGAGUACUUUGAAAACUUAGCAGCUCGGUCUUUCUUCCAAUAUUUUGAGAAAGAUGAUAAGGGUAACAUAGUAAGGUGCAAGAUGCAUUAUAUAGUGCAUGACUUUGCUCAAUUUUUGACCAACAAUGAAUGCUUAAUUGUGGAGGAUGAUUGUGAAAACCUAAAGACAAACUUGUCCCUUCAAAAGGGUCGUCAUGCAACUGUAAUUGUGCAAGGGAGUACGCGAUUCUCUUUCCCCGUUAAUAACGCGAGGAAUUUACACACUUUUAGUUGUGUCUGAAAACAGGUGUAGAAUUGACUCAUUUCCACUUGAUUCCUUCCAGCAAUUCAAAUAUCUUAGAGCAAUGGAUUUGAGAGGUAAUGACUCAAUUGUAGAACUCCCAAGGGAGGUGGGUGAAUUCAUACAUCUGAGGUACCUUAAUCUAUCAU